AAAUAUGAACCUUGCUCUAUCUUUAUCAAUUUUUUUCUCAAAUUAAAAUUACAUCCAAUGGCAAAACUAUAAAAAAAACCUGACUUUCAAGGUUUGGUGCUACCUAUAGCUUGGUGGCCGUGAUUUGGAGUAGAGAUGGUCAGAUCUAGAAGCUAUGAUAGUAAAGAGCACGAUGGUAACUAUAGAUUGGUCAGACUUGCAAUGGUUUGUCGUGAAAUCCGACCUGAACUGGCGACUGUCUAUGGUGAUGUGGAUUACGAUUUUAGGGUUGUUAUGCAAUGGUUCUCGGUUAAUGCUGGACAAUGGCAUUGAAAAAUAUUUUGGCGACUUAAGGGGAGCCAGACAGAGGUGACAAUCGACGAAAAGGGUGGUGGUUUCACGACGGCAAGUUGGUGGAGUGCUUGCCAGUUCGGGUGAUUUGUAACAAUUACAAGUAGCGGUUAAGGGCGAGGUUGGUUGGGGUUUGGUCGGUAAUGGGCUGACGACUCUGAUGGUUGCAGUGCUUGGCGGUGAUGGUUGCAAGAUUGUGAAGAUAGUGGUGGCGGCGUUGUUUUUCAAUCUUGGUUUUUUUUUUUUUUGUGAUGGAUUCGAUGAGGAUGAAUAUAGGAAGCAGGAAAAGCUUUGCUAUUGAUAGAGAAUUGCUUUGAUACCUAUUGACAGAGCGAGAUAGCAGCAGUAGCUUAAUAAUAUAAAUAAGCAUUAGAUAUAGUUUUAGUAUCGAACCAAGCCAAUGCGAUUAUGUUAUGUUCUAAUUAAAAUAUAAUUAGAUCUCGUUCUAAUCCAAACGACUCAAUGAGAUUUUAACAACACUUUUCAAGAUUAGACGACGUUUUAAUAUAUCUAAACAACUCUAUAAGAGAGAUUUUGAUAGCUAAUCCCAAAAGAAUUAUAAAAAAAGAGUUUUUUUUUAAUUAAUUAAAAGGUUAUAAAAAUAAUAACAAGAUCUCCCUAUUUAUAGUAAACCUACCUACACAAGUUAACUAAAAAAAUAUAAUUAAAUCACAAUUAUAAUGAAAAUAAAAGAAUAAAAUAUAUAUCAUAAUUGACUUUAAAUAAAAAUAGAAAGUAUGAAAAUACCUAAAAUAAUAAAAUUUUAAAAUCUUAAAAUAUUGUCCUACUUCAUCAUGUGUCAAUACUAUUUUAUUAGUAUGAUUAUUAAUCUUUAAUUAAACUAACAUAAAGUCUUUAUGGCUCAAUACUUGUAUAAAUUAUUGGACUGUCAAAUUUAUGUAAUGUACAUGUAGGGUAUUGAAAAUUAUUAGAUUUUAUUUAAAACAUUAGUUACAAGUAAAAAAAUUAAAUACCUAAAUUAUUAUAUGCAAGAACACAUUUAUUGGGUAAUUUGUUUAUUGUAUGUCAUAAGGGUAUUAAGACUGAUGUUAAUGUAACUUAAAUGAUCAAAGAAACCUAAACAAGAAAAUAGUUAUAAAAAUGAUUUAAUUGAUUAAUUAUAAAAAAUUUAUUGUUGAUUCAUAUUUAUUAGAAAGUGAUAUAAGCUUAUUAUAAAUGUGCUCUGGAAGUGGGGUGCGUUUACUAAGGUGAAAAUAUUCACACAGCCCCACCAAUCACUUCCCCUUAAUUCACCUGGUUGACAAAAAAAAAAAAAAAAAUUUAAUUACGACAAAUAUAACAUAUUUAUAUUAAAAUAAAUAUCAAGUCAAUAUAUUAUAAUUAAUCAAAUAUUUAAACGUGUAAUAAAUAGGCUAAGCGUAUUGGAAUAAAACUUUAAACUUAAACCCGACAAGAUUAGGAAAUGAACUUACUGGCUCGUGUUGUGUUCACAUUGGAUUCUCAUAUCGCUGACCCCUUCCCCACACGCAUUCGUUCAACGAACUUAUUUCACAAUUAUUGACGUUGUUUUUUUUCGUAGACUAAUAAGUUAAGAACGUGUUUGAUUGAAAAUGGUCACCAGUCACGUCUUAUCAAAUAAAGGGGAGUUACGUGCCGCUGUAUUUUUGCUCGUGACUUGAAAUUUGGUAUAAUGGUAACAAAAAUAUUGUCAUAUUUUUAUUCGGAUGUGACAUUAUUUUUAUCAUUAUGGCAUGCAUCUUUUUCUUAAGAUGUCUCUGUCAUUUUCUAGGAGCUUUAAUAUUCCUCGGAACCAUAGAACCAUACGUAAUUGCGGACUUGCGUCUGUAAUUAAGAACACCUACCCAGAGAUUUGUUCCCUUCAAUUCAUUGGUACAACAAUUUCUCUCAAGUUAAUUAUAAUCAUGAUGUGGCUCUUAAUUCACAAUUGAUUGAAUUGGUCUGAUGAUUGUUUCAUAUGCCAAAAAGUAAAGCUCAAAUCAAACGUAACUUGGAGAAAAUCAAAGGCUUCAUCAUUUUCAUGUUUUUAUUGGGUCUCAUAGUUUUUCCUUGUUGGAAAUUUCGAACGUGAAAAGAAGUUAAAUGCUUUUAUUAGUUUAUAUAAGAAACUGAUUGUCAUGGCCGAGAUAAAUCUGAAUUUCCAUUUUUAUUAUGGAUACGGGUGGGAUGAAUCAUCCAACCCAUAUAUGCUCCGUUACUACAACUACUAACCAAUAACAACAAUUGCUUGAUUAAUGUUUUGUUUGAAGACUUCAAUCAAUUUUGAUUCAACCGAGAUCAUAACUUUGUCAACAAUCCGUUGGUGUGAUAUGAUGAUGAUGAUUAUUAUUAUUAUUGUGUAAUUUUUUUUUAUAUAUAAUUAUUUUGUAAUUGUUAGAAAGAAAGAAAAAGAAAAUUCUUUGAAGUGAUAUUUGUUGAAGCUUUCGCUUUUCAAUUUCUUGCAUAUUUAAUGAUUUAAAUGAUGUGGGAAUUUCCUCAAGCAAAAAAAAAAAAAAAAAAAAAAAAGAUGUGUGAGAUAUUCUACAGAGUAUUGAUCAAGUGUGCGAUUAGAGGCGUGAUUACACGUGUGUGAUGAUAUAAAAUGUGGAGCUGCUGAGUGCUGACCCUACGAGUUCGUUAUUUGAGAUCUUGACAUGCAUGCAGUCGCACUUGAUAAAAUGCGUGAGUGUUUCCACCUGAUUAAGAUUGAUAUUCAAUGUGACAAUCAGCACAAAGAAAAAUUGACACGCCACGUAUUUGUAAUUAAGUUCCCUUAGAUAUUCUUCUGUGAAUGUGUGACAUGUCAAACACGGAAUUUUGAAUGUUUUUAUUGUAUUGUUGAUGAGUUCUACUUUUCCUACUUGAAAAUUAAACUGCCUUCAAACAUUCAACAAGUUUUUAUUUAAUCUACUUUGUAUUUAAAAAAAAAAAAUCAACUUUGUAUUAAUCUUUGGUUAAACUACACAAAACCUGCUUUAAACAGUUCAUUUGAAAUGCUUUCUUGAGAAGCAUCUAAUAAAUACUCUUAUCCAAAAAGAAAUUUUGGAGAUACAAAUAAGAAAAGCACUUAAAAAAUUUGAUGCUUUUAGAAACAUCAUGAUGUAGGACGUUGUUUUAGGAAUUUUAAGAUUCUAGAAUUUUAUUAUUUUAGGACUUUCUAUUUUAAUUAGAGUCAAUUAUGAUAUUUUAUUAUUUUAGAACUUUCUAUUUUUUUUAGAGCCAAUUAAGGUAUGAUAUUUAAUUAACUUAGGGAAAUAUCUUUUAUUUUUAUUAUAAAUGUGAUUUAAUUUCCCAUUUUUAAGUUAACAUAGGGAAAAUAUAUUUUAUCUCUAUUAUAAUUGUGAGUUAGUUUUUUUUUUUUAUGUCAAUUUAGGGAAGUGGGUUUCCUCUCUAUUAUAAAUAGAGAGGUCUUAUCACUGUUUUAAGAACUUUUUUUUUUUUUAGAUUCAUUUAUUCUAUAAAACUUUUAUUUAGAAAUUUGUUUUCUCUAUCUUCUUUACAAUUCUGCUUCGUCACAGCAUAAAUUGAAAUUAAUGUUUUUUCCCAUGACUUCUGCCCUUAACAACUCUAACUAGUAGUAAGAAAAUUGAUUGUACAACUUCAUUUAGAAGGGAUAAUUUUAAAUUACCUCUCAUGAAAUGAUAAUGUUUAAAAUGUUCUUAAAUUAUUAUAAAUAUCAAUUUAUCUCCUAUUUUGUUAAGAAGAGAAAUAAAUUUUUAUCGACCCAUUCCUAUUUUUUCUUUAUCUUUUGAACAAAAUGAAAAAAAAUUUAAAGUUUACAAUAAUUUGAAUAGUUUUCUGGUCAUUCAAUGCGGAGGGUAAUGUGAAAUUUACCGUUUCUAGAAUUAAUUUGAGUGAAAAGUUGUGUCAGUAUUGGUUCACUUCAAUGGUGGUUGAUAUGUAAACAAACUGCUAGCUACCAGCCACCAGCCACCAGCAAUUUUUUUUUUGUACAAAAGGGCUCUAAAAAGAGCUAAGGAAAAACAAAACGUGGGUAACCUACCCCAUACAUAUCAUGCUGAAGGUAAGCAAUGAUACCAGGAGGAGGAUUUGGGAACAAAUGAAGACCCAAAGGAAAAGAUAGGGCAUGGUUUGCUAAGAAGUCCGCUGCAAAAUUAGCCUCCCUGUAAACAUGAUUAAUGAUAAUGCGCCAGCUGCGACUAAUGAGAUCUUUAAUUGACUUAAUCAAAGGAGAGAGCUCAUUAGUUGUGAUCAUAGGAGUGGUGACUAGGUGGAGAAUACAGAUGCUGUCAACUUCAACUUGUAACCAUCGGAUCCCAUUUUGCCAAGCAAUAUUUAAACCUUGAUAUAGGCCCCAAAACUCAGCUACUGUAACCGAGCACGAUCCAAUAUUCAUUCCAAAGCCGGCCACCCAAGCCCCAUUAUGAUCUCUGAUAAGACCGCCUGCACUUGCUUCCCCUGUCUUUUUUGCAGCACCAUCAGUAUUUAACUUACACCAAGGCCAGAAUGGAGGAGACCAACAUAUCCACUUCGCAACCCGGCGAUUAUUCAUGCCCAUCGGUGUGGUACUAAUCCGUUGAAAUUCUGUAGCUUUUAUCUUGACUUCAGAUAUCAUAGUAGCACAAUCCCAAGUCAUGCCAUGAAAUAAAAAUUUAUUACGCCAAAACCAGAGACGCCAUAUAGCUACCCCAAAGAAAAUAUUCCAACUGAGAUCUGAUCCAACCUGGUCCGCGUUCGUCAAGUUAUAGCUCAUCCAGUCUUUCAAGUUCAGAAAGAAAAAAUAUUGACGUUGAUGUAUCGGGAGGAUGGCGUACCAAAAUCUCCUAGCUACCAUGCAGUCCCGUAACACAUGCAAAGUAUUCUCAUCUCCAUCACCGCAACGAUCACAACUGCUAUCUAAGUGAACAUGUCUUCUUGAAAUCUCAGCUUUUGUUUUCAAUCUAUUAUGCAACACCAACCAAAGGAAAACACGAAUAAUUUGAGGACCAUUCCAACGCCAUACACAGCUCCAUAUUUGAUCAUCCUCUCCCUUAAUCUCUUUGGAAAGAGCAUCAUAUGCUGAUUUUACAGUGAAAUUUCCUUUUUUAGAUUCAGACCAAAAAAUCUGAUCUUCUCCAUAGCCUUCCAUUGGUGGUCGAAAUGAGGCAAUUCGGAGAAGGAUACUGUUGGGGAUGAGGCAGCCACCAGCAAUUUGAUAGUAUUAUAAACUCCCAUUUCAAAAUUGCAAUAUUCCUGAAACCACAACGCCACUAUACGAAACUGAGCCUUAGAAGUUAUAUGCUGAAUGUCUUUAACAUUUAUGUUGAGAAAGAAGAAAAGAAGACAGAAUGAGAAGAAAAUAUACACACAGCAUUCAAGCAUAAUUCUCUAAUCUGAGUUAUUACAAUAAUCAGUCGGAAUCCACACUGAAUGGAUAGAGGUCAGCGCCAGACGUGGAAGAACGUGUAGGUGGCCCAUAAAUUGACGACGUGCUUUGUAUAGUACUUGCAGUUUUUUCUAUGCUGAAUUGGUAAUAUCUCCUCAUUGCUUCUGACUUGGUUUCAUCGACGUCUGAGAUACUUGAAUCUGGAACUAAAUCUGGAACAUCAACACCGCAUUCGAGCAUGCUUAAGACCGAAGACAUUGAAGGCCUAUUUGUAGGAGAAGCACUGGCACACAGCAGGGCUACAUUGAUCAUCACCAUCAGUUGUUCUUUGUCAAAAUUUGAACCAAGAUCUGUAUCAACUAGCUCCAUUAAAUUUCCUUGCUCUUUCAAUACAAGCGCCUGAUUGAAAAGAAGUUGAAACAACAUAUAUUUGGUUGGUGAUAAAUUCAAGAUCAAACAAUGCAAAAUAAGAGAUUGUAGGAGCCUAAAUGUUACCCAAUCUAGAAGAUAAAUUUUAUCCUCCUUUGUCCUGGAAAAAACGUUGCUUCUACCGCUGACAAUUUCCAAGGCAACAAUUCCGAAACUAUAGACAUCCGCUUUCUCUGUUAAAUGGCCCCGUGUUGCAUAUUCUGGUGCCAUAUAUCCACUACAAGGUCGUGAAUUUGAAUAUUAAAUUCAUAUAUAAUGUAUGAGAAGGAAAGUGGAAAACAUUGAUGAGAAAUUAGUAUGCAGCGACUCACAUUGUUCCGGCAACUCGGGUGCUUAUGUGGGUGUCAUCUUCUUCAUCCAGCUUGGCUAAACCAAAAUCGGAUAUUUUAGGGUUUAAGUCCUUAUCAAGAAGCACAUUGGUUGCUUUGAUGUCUCUAUGCACAAUCUUUAUCCUUGAUUCUCCAUGUAGAUAAGCUAAACCUCUCGCUAUGCCGAGGCAAAUCCUGCGCCUUGUUGGCCAAUCCAACUUCAACCGAUGCUCUUCAGGACCUUCAAAUCAUUCAAGAAAGACGAUACAUGACUAGAAUCUAAUACCACAUAUGUAUGUAUGUGUGAUUUAUGUGGAAACCGAUACUGUGUAGUUGAAAUAUAUACCAAACAUGGCUCGAGCAAGGCUGUUGUUUUCCAGGUACUCAUAAAUAAGCGACAAUUGAUUUCCUUCCAUGCAACAUCCAUAAAGCUUUACAAGAUUAGGGUGUUGCAAAGCAGAAAUCAUGCCAAUCUCAUUAAUGAAUUCUCGAUUUCCUUGCUUUGAUUUGGAAGAAAGUUGCUUGACUGCGAUCACUGUGCCAUCUGCCAAAAGGCCCUGCAUUUUUAAGAAAUGCGGUCAGAUUUGAAAAACAAAAAGGAAUUGUUUCGAGCAAAACACACCUUGUAAACAGGGCCAAAACCGCCUUCUCCAAUCUUGUUAUCAGGGGCAAAGUUGUUUGUGGCAGCUUUAAUUUGCUUCAAUGUAAAAGAAGCAGUAUGCAAGUCUACACCCCGCAGCUCUGUGGAAGAAAUUACUGGGUUAAUAAAAAUGAAACAUAAGCAUAACAAAAUGAUCUGUAAAAUCAAGAUAUCAUGAUUUGCAUAAUCUUUUAAAGACUUGAAUUAGAGAAUUAUUUAUUUGUAAGAAAUAUUUGUUAAUUAAUCAGUGCACUACCUCGUUCCAGAGUAUUUUCUGGUCUAAAACAGCCCUUCCACUGAAGGAUACCCACCACAACUAGGAUUAUAAAAAAUGCUGCAGCCACUGCGAUUCCCAAUGCUUUGCCUACUGAUAUACUACUGCUUCCAUCUUCUGACGGGGGUGUGAAAUCUGCUUCACCUAGAAAGUUACACAUCUCUCCAAUGUGAGGGUUAUCUAAUUGAAAAUCACUUAAAUACAAGGAAUUCCCGUAGAAAUAACCUUUGGGAAUUUGUAAAAUCUAAGGCACUUACGAAAUGGGAAAUUAUCAAAUUAGAUGAGAGAAGCCUUGAGUUAGUACUUAACAUACCAGGAUUGUGAAGAGAAAUAGCUGAUAUGAGAGGACCAUAAUCUCCUUUAAAUGGAAUUUCAGUUGUUCCUUUCCCAGCCCAAUAGAGACGGAUCUCCAUGGUCCCGUUGGUCACGGCAGCAGAAAAUGGUUUUACAAUUGCUUUACCAACACCACCAGCUUCAUUCUCAAUAUUGAAAUCCUUCAGCACGAGCUUCCCCUGCAACCAUACUUCCAAUUAGCUUAACCUUUUAUGCAUGUUGAAGUAAAGUCCAAGAUGGACAAUAUCUGUUACAUCCGUUUUUAUUUAAGGAAGCUUUUGUGAAAUCCAAAAGCGAAUCCAUGAGAGUAAUUAUGUGGUCAUUACUGAAUCCCAACUGAAAAAGCUUGUUGUGUAACAGCUUUCUGAAUCCCAACGGAAAUUAAAAUCUACAUAAGGCUGAACUGGAAAAGAUUUGCUAGCUCAAUAUUCAAGAAAAGAUGUAAUAUCAACCGUGAUUAAUUGGGGGUGGUGAGGUAGUAUUAAGCAUUAGUCACCUGAAUGUAAACAUCAAAUAUACGCUUUCCAAAACUGCUAAAAUUUUUGUCAUCAGUGAACAGUAUCUCUGCAAAGUGAAGGUUGACUGUGUAGUUUCCAUUCCCCAGACAGAAUCCAUAGUAAGUUAGAGAUAUGGCAGAAAGGCGGGCGGUUGUGUAUAAUUGAGAAUCGCUCAUCAAAAGUCUAGACGUAUUUGUCUGAAUGUAAGUGUCUGUUUUGAUACUAUUAUCCAAGAAGUGACCAGUGCUGCUUAGCCCCCAAUUUGUUCUACUUUGGGUAAAUGUUGAAGGCCCUGCCUCAUACGUAUCCUCUUCAAAUGUUGUAUCUCCAUUGGCAGUCACUUCACUCCCGCCACAGUUUAUAUGAAGAGAGUAGUAAGCUAGAACAAAAACAACAGUGAGCAUCCAGUGUACAAGUAAAAACUUUUAAAAGCCAAGUAACAACCAAUGAAUUUUAGCAGCAGAUGACUUAGCGUAGUAUUGUUGUCCUAGGUAGUCAAAGUUUUGGGUUUAAAGGAAUUACCUCAAAUUAGAAGCUAAUAUAAAACAAUGCGACAAACAUUUAGUAUGCUAAACAAGAUAGGAGCUGCGGGAAAUUAACUGGUCUUUUCCAUGUUUUUGUCAAUUAUAAGAUUUUUUUCAUCAGGAAAAUUCAAUGUAUUUAUGAAAGAAUAUUUCAGAUCAUGACUUACUUUUUGGGCAUUGGAAGCUUCUCAAGCAUGAUACAAUUCCGGUGCUGGAAAGAUGUAACGUAAAGGUCAGCAUCAUAACAGCAUAACAUAUAAUCGAAUUUGAUCAACUCGCCAGAGCAAUAUAUCCAGACAAUGCCAAUACCCAAUUAACUUAAAACCAAAAAGCUUCUAUUAUGCAUUUCAAUAUGUUAUAACUAGAUAGUGAAUAGAAAACUUACGAGUUAUUUCCCUUAGAGAAGCUGGCAAACAAGUUCCUAGAGAAUUGCACAAAGUAUAAAGCUUAGUCAGUGUAUUGAAGAUAGUUUAUUGAUGGAGGUGCUUAAAAGCUUCAAUUGAUAGUAUUCUUACACGCUUCGCUUUUGGCAGCUCGACUCUGCGCUUCCAUCAGUGAAAUUAUUAUAUGAAAGAUCUCUGCAAACAGAGUUUUAUGUGACUCAUCGUCUUCCAGAAUGCAAAAAAUUGCACCAAGAGUGCGAAGGGGAAGCUUACAUUUUGUCUCCUUUUUCAAGCAUCCAAGGAGGUAUCGCUCCAGUUAGCAAAUUUCCGGUGAAGUAUCUAUAGCAAAAUAUAAUAACAAAGUAGUAAAAGAAGUACGUUAAACAACCCACGCUUACAAGAGGGAAAUUUGGAAUAAGAAAAAAAGAUGCUUACAUGUAAUCCACAUCAUAUAGAUCAUCGAAGUUGCUUGGAAUUUGUCCCCUUAGUCUGCUAAAGCUGAGAUCCCUGAAAGAAAAUUCAUAAAAGAAUCAUAAAUUAACUGAAAUUUCCCCGUAUGUAUACCUGCAGAUAAUAAACAACGUUUGCACUAACAAGACUUUCAAUGUUGUCAUAUUCCCAAGAUAAGGAGGCAGCUCUCCUGUGAUAUUACAAUUCCUCAAUAUCCUGCCAUGACAGGAUCAAACAUUAAGAGAUCUUUCAACAAGCCAAAAGAUGAACAAAAUUUCUAUGAAUUGGAUACUUACAAGUUCGUCAUCUUCUUAUUACCAAGUUGGGGAAAAGUUGCUUCAGGUCCAUUCAGGUCACUAAUUCUCCUGCAUCGUGAAAUUCAACAAAAACCAAUAAGCCUAGUAUCAGUCAAAUACAUUAUGCACAUGAGUAACAAAAAUAGAAAAACCAUACAUACAAGUCCGUUAAAUUUUCCAGAGAAAAAAUGCCAGAAGGAAUUGGCCCAACCAAACCGCUUGGCUGAAUGAAUCUGUUGAUACAUGUAAUAUUUAUUUCAUUAGUCACCAUACGCAUAAUUUAUUGUUAAUAAAAUAAUGAAUUAAGGGAAAAAAAAAAAAAAACUAGCUCUUACAGUUUUUCAAGCUUUGUCCAGUUCUGAAUAAAACUAGGUAUUUGUCCUGUGAAUAGGUUAUCACCAAUUCGACUGCAUCAUUUGGGAUAACAAAAGAAAAAAUAAAUUAAUUAAUGACCAUUUACUGUUUUAAACACACGCAAGAUGCUAAAUUGUUCAAGAAGCAGCAUAGCUGAGAUCAGCACUGAAUCCAAAUUCAAGAAAGAAGACUGUGAAAGAGUAAGAAAAAUCAAAAGCUUACAAAUCCUUCAUAUUGGUCAACUUAGCAAAUGUUUUAGGCAACUCCCCAGUAAAAUUAUUUGAACUAAGAUGUCUGUAACAAGAGCAAUAACGAGCCGAGUUAUCAAUCUAAUAAAUGUAAGUUUUUUCUUCAGGAUUUUGAUUUGGAAUAAAAGGGUCUUAUAAGUUUAUAUGAAUCGCGUAUCCCUUACAGUUUUUCAAGAUUGAGUAGACUACCAAGCUCCUCAGGCAGUUCUCCUGAAAACUGAUUGUAUUGGACGGUCCUAUUCAUUUUACCGAACAUAAAAGAAUCAAUUAAAACAAGAUUAAUAUUUUUCUAAAAUCGAAGGGGGAAAAAGAGAUACGAAAAUAAAAACUCACAGAUUGACAAGUGUGGAAAUAUUUGCUAAAUAUUUUGGGAUUGGACCCGUUAGCCGGUUUGCUAGGAGGGAACUGAAACAAGAAUCCCAUAUGUGUUAGUUUAAAUGUAAAAUAUCUUCUGUUCAUCUAAAUUAAAAAUGAACAUCACGUUUACAUUCAUGAAGCAAGAUAACCAGAAAUUGAGCUACGAAUUGAAGGAAUUUGCAGGUGGGAUGAAUGAGACAUUAUAUUUUAAAAAUUAUUGAAUUUAAAAGUUUAAGUUGAUAAAUAAGGGUUUAAAAAAAUAUUAAAGGUUGAUCUCAAAUUCUUUAUAAUAUAUGUUAUCAAUCUCCCGUAGUUACUUAUAUAUGAUUUAGCAAAAAAUAGACAGCUGCUAAGUUAUAUUAUUUGUAACUUACAAUUGACCCAAAAUUAGUUUCUCAAGACCCCUACGAGUUUGACAACAAACUUUACAUUUUGAAUAAUAACUGAUUUUGAAUUGACUUAAGUUAGAAAUGAAAUGACUUAUUAGUAAGACCCAGCAAAAACCCGUCCGCAUUAGAGAAUUUUCAUAAGUACACUAUAUAAUAAAGUAAAGAAAAAGUAUGACAUACAUAUUAAGAAGUGGCAGAGAGGCCCAUUCUGAAGGGAUAGUGCCACUAAGGUAGUUGCGAGGGAGACUACUGUUCAUGUCAGACAGUUAAUUAAUUUCGUUAAUUAUAUAUGUAACAAAAUGAACAUAUGUAAAUGUCUAAUGGGAAAAGUUAUAGUUAAUGAAGGGUAAAUUGGAAUGGAGAAGUGCUUACAUAUCUUGGAGGAAAGUGUACAGCAGUAGAAUUAGAAACUGAGAAAAAUUAAAAAAAUACUCAGUUUUUCUAUUUCAAAGCAUCAAGAUUCUUGAUUGGAGAAUAAUAUAAUGUUCUUAGCUUUUAAAUCACAUGGAAAACAGAGUUAGCAUUGCGAUAAUAAUGAUUACAAUGGUCAAAGUCUAAGGAGUACAAUUGCUGAAAAUUAGACUGCUGUACCGUACAUCCGCCUUGGCCGUACAGCAGUUCAUAUUGGUCCUCAACAAGAAUUUUUUAUAAGUAACAAAAUGAACAUAUGUAAAUGUCUAAUGGGAAAAGUUAUAGUUAAUGAAGGGUAAAUUGGAAUGGAGAAGUGCUUACAUAUCUUGGAGGAAAGUCAGUUCGGCCAAUUUUGGUGGGAGAACUCCUGUGAGAUUCUGCUCCUUCAGAACUCUGUUUGAGUAGAAAAGUAUGAGACUUGAUUUAUGUAUUUACUUAAAAAAGGGAAAAAAAAAAAAGGCAAGUGAAUAAUAUAGAUAAACAAACAAAUAAUGCAGGGGCGUUUGGUUACUUUGAUUUGGUACCGUUUUUGGUUUACCGUUUUCUGUUUUCCAGAAAUGAAAAAUAAGAAACGUGUUUAGUGGCACCAUUUCUCAGCCUGUUUUUUUAUCAGACUGAAAAUGAGUACAACUCAUUUUGCACCAUCAUCAAAGGAAAAGAGAAAAAUGAUAAAAUAUUUGUUUGCAUAGAUAUCGCAUAUGUCUUCUUUCGAGAUUCGGCCGCACAUCUGAAAACAAACAAUUGUGUACGAUCAAACAAUUUGGCCCCCCCGCAAACUAUAAAAAGAUGAGUUCCAAAUAAAUAUAGGACGGUAACAAAUGAGGCAUGUAAAACCGGAGUGAACGAACACAAAAUUUUUUACAUGGUUCGACAAAUUAUCUUAUGUGCUGUGUCCUUGCCUCUAAAAAAAAAUAAAAAUAAAACGUUGUGGUUUAAUAGGGUGUAUAUGUCGUUUUAUCUAUUAUUAAUUACUGUUUGCAAAAGAAUUUAUAUUUAAUAUUGAGCUGAUCUGUACUCAACUCUUCAUACGUACAGAAUAGAUGAUUAAAAUGUAAUUAGUUUUAUAUUCUUGUCUAACUAUUAAUUGUGUAUUACUGAAUCUAAAUCCGCGCAAAAAGCUUUAUGAGAUAGAGAUAGGGACAUAUAAAUGUACGUACAUACGGAAAACAUAGCAAACGGUGCCGUUAGAGAAGGAGCAAUUGCAGGUGACAGCAUUCUCUUCUGGAAUCUCAGCCCAUCCCUCUUCUCCACUGCAUGGAUCUACGCUGAAGUUCCAGUCCUUCUUCCCUAGCGUAUUGGCUAUAUCUUUUAAAGCUUGUACUGCAUGCAUCAAAUUGUUACAAACACGUACGGCUAAGUUUAACUGAUAGCGUUCAACAAUAUCAGUCUGUAUAUCAGUAUACAUGCAUACAUAUAGAUAUAUAUAUAUAUGUGUGUGUGUGUUUGUAAAGUAACAAGUAUCAGCCUUCCAAAAAAAAUAUAUAUAUAUUAGCAAGUUUGAAACCAUUAUGUCCUCCGGAUUAAAUUUACUUAAUCCGGAUUUUACGACAGCAUAUAUUUAAAUAUAAGUUCCCUCUGUUCAGAGAGGUUAAUAAAAUCUCUGUUCAGAGAGGUUAAUAAAAUAAAAAUGAUAUAUAAUUGCACAGACUUUCUUUCUUUCUCUCUAGCUAGCAUACCUUCAUUUUCUGGCAAGAUGGCUCCAGAAGCAAGAGCGCUUACGAGGGCAAGGGCAGUAAGUGAAAGAAAAAGAAGACGAUGAAACAUCUCUUUUUUUUUUCCCUCCCCACUUUUGCUGAAGAAAUUCAGCAAUAGCUGCUUUAAUUUGAGAGUGAAAAACGAUUAAUUCGGAGAAUUGGUUGCAAAGUUUAUGAUUUUUAUUUUUUUAUAAGAGGAUGGGAAUUGAAUUCUGCGUGGAAAAAUGAAAGAAGACUUGACUUGACCCUUAGUAAAUGAUGGCAACAAGAGUGUAUUACUUUUAAGUAAUGAUAGAGUCAGAACUAUUUGGUACAAUAAGUGUUUAUAAAUUUAUUUCUGGCUCUAUUAUUAUUAAUUACUUUAUCCGAUUCAGAUCCUUUUAUGAUUGGAUAAAUUUUAGAGUAUAUCUGAAAUGUUAUAUCUAAUUAAUAUAAUUUUUUAAAAUAAAUAUACACAUAAUAUACAUACAUUAAUUGAAUAUAACACAUUUAAUGUAUUCUAAAAUCACUCUAUGAACCGUCGCAUUAUUAAAUUCAAUGGCUAGGAUUUAUUCUCUUGUUAAUUUUUCAUUUCACAAUUAUUGAUACAUAUUGUUUUGUCCGUAACAAAAAGUCAACAGCACGUGUGGUUGGAUGACGGUCAUAUCUUAUCAAAAUCAACUUAAUUUGAGCCCUAGGAAUCACAACUUGAAUUGCUGGGAACCAAAGAACCAUAUCUCUACCGAGAGAUUUGUGUCAAAAGCAGCCAUCCAACUAGAUGGUCAACAUUCAAAGAAGAGAAAUUUUGCAGCAAGUUGGAAAGGAAAAGGAGCACACGGGCUUGGCAUUGAAAAGAAGAAGUUGGCAACUACUUUGAAAUAUAUACAUAUAUAUAUAUAUUAAUUUAAUAGCCAUUUCAUUUUCAUUCAAUUCCAUCGAGAGAAAUCUUUCUUUCUUUUGAGUGUUGAGAGUUUUCAAGAGUUUAAUAAACUCUUGAGUGUCUAGUGAGUGAGAGAUUGGGUGUAUUAGGGUUUUGGGUAGUGAGCUAAAAUCUUACAAUAUUUGUAAUCCUUAUUUCACUAGUAAAAUAUUUCUUUCUGUUUUCGCCCGUGGACGUAGGCUAAAAAAGCCGAACCAUGUAAUUUCUGGUGUCCUCUAGUGUGCUUGUUCUUUAUUUUCUUCCAAUUUCAUUUUAGCUGCGGUCCUGCUUCACCCACCAAUUUCCUAACAGUGGUAUCAGAGCCAUUGGUUGUAUUUUUGGAGUCCGGAAUUGUUCACGUAUACGGCGUACGGAACUAUUCACGUAUACGGUGUACAACACUAUUCACGUAUACGGCGUACGGUACUAUUCACGUAUACGAUAUACGGCACUAUUGACGUAUACGGUACUAUUCACAUAUACGGUACUAUUUACGUGAAACGGUGGAAGCGAUCCAAGAAUUUUGCGGUGCAAAGCUUAAGGAGUCUGGGUUUUAAGUGAGACCAUUGUGACCCCUCCAGUCUUUCCUGGGAACUUUCCUGGUGUGCAUUCUCACACAUACUCACAACUAUUCAAGGUGGUACGCUAGCUUGUGUGCAGUAUUAUCAACAAAAUGGCGGCAAAGUAUGAAAUUGAGAAGUUUAACGGAAAUAAUUUUUCGUUGUGGAAAAUGAAGAUGAAAGCUGUAUUGAGGAAAAAUAAUUGUUUGGCAGCAAUUGGAGAAAGGCCCAUGGAGAUAACUGAUGACAAGUGGAACGAGGUAGACGGCAACGCUAUUUCUGAUCUACACUUUUGGCAGCAAUUGGGAGUAUUAUCCAGUGUGGCAGAGAAAAACACAGCGAAGGAAAUAUGGGAUACUCUCACAAAAUUGUACGAGGCCAAGUCACUACACAACAAAAUCUUCUUGAAGAGGAAACUCUAUACUCUUCGAAUGGCGGAAUCUACAAUGGUGACCGACCACAUCAACACNNNNNNNNNNNNNNNNNNNNNNNNNNNNNNNNNNNNNNNNNNNNNNNNNNNNNNNNNNNNNNNNNNNNNNNNNNNNNNNNNNNNNNNNNNNNNNNNNNNNNNNNNNNNAAACUCUAUACUCUUCGAAUGGCGGAAUCUACAAUGGUGACCGACCACAUCAACACAUUGAAGACUCUAUUUUCACAACUCACAACGUUGGGUCAUAAUAUAGAGGAAAAUGAACGUGCAGAGCUUCUACUUCAAAGUCUACCAGAUUCGUAUGAUCAACUCAUCAUCAACCUGACGAACAACAAUCCAGUGGAGGGUCUAGUUUUCGAAGAUGUUGCAGCCUCCGUAUUAAAUGAGCAGAGCAGGCGGAAAAACAAGGAAAACAGACAAGCAAGUUCGCAGCAAGCAGAAGCGCUAUCGGUGACGAGAGGGAGAUCAACGGAACGUGGUCCCAGUGGGAGUCAAAAUCAGGGUAGAUCAAAAUCCAGAAGUAAGAAGAAUGUUAAAUGCUACAAAUGUGGCAAGAAAGGGCACGUCAAGAAAGAUUGUUGGAGUAACCAGAAGAGAAAAGAGGGCAAAGAACCUAAGUCAUCAAAUGCUCAGGGUUGUGUAGCAAGUACCUCGGAUGAUGGCGAAAUUCUUUACAGUGAGGCAACAACUGUUUCAGAAGGCAGAAAACGACUUUAUGAUGUCUGGCUUAUAGACUCAGGAGCUACCUGGCACAUGACCUCUAGGAGAGAAUGGUUCCACACAUAUGAACCUAUCUCAGGAGGAUCUGUAUAUAUGGGAGAUGAUCAUGCCUUGGAGAUCGCUGGUAUUGGUACUAUCAAAAUAAAAAUGUUUGAUGGUACAAUUCGGACAAUUGGAGAGGUACGACAUGUCAACGGCCUGAAGAAAAAUCUAUUGUCUUUGGGACAAAUAGACAGUCAUGGGUGCAAAACUCAUGUGGAGAAUGGAAUAAUGAAGAUCAUUAAAGGCGCGCUUGUAUUGAUAAAGGCAGAAAAGAUCGGUGCUAAUUUAUUCAUGCUUAAAGGAGAAACACUACAGGAGGCUGAUGCGUGUGUCGCGUCAAAUGGAGAAGAAUCAACGAUGAUGUGGCAUCUCAAACUUGGCCACAUGUCAGAACAAGGCUUGAAGAUUCUCUCUGAGCGAAAAUUGCUUCCGAGGCUCAAAUCGGUAAGUUUACCAUUUUGCGAGCAUUGUGUUACAAGUAAGCAGCAUAGAUUAAAAUUUAGUAGAUCUAUUGCUAGAAGUAAAUGCAUUCUAGACUUGAUUCAUUCUGAUGUUUGGGAAUCACCGGAUAUAUCCAUGGGAGGUGCAAAGUACAUGGUGACUUUCAUUGAUGAUUAUUCCAGAAGAUGUUGGGUGUAUCCAAUUAAGAAAAAGUCAGAUGUAUUUCAUGUGUUUAAAGAAUACAAAGCGCGGGUGGAACUUGAAUAUGGUAAAAAGAUCAAGUGCUUGAGGACAGAUAAUGGUGGAGAAUAUACAGACGGCGAGUUUCUUGCUUUCUGUAAGCAAGAAGGUAUUCAGAGGCAGUUCACGAUGGCAUACACUCCUCAACAAAAUGGAGUGGCAGAACGGAUGAACAGAACUCUUACAGAAAGAAUAAGAGCUAUGUUGAAGACUGCUGGUCUACCCAAUUCAUUCUGGGCAGAAGCAGCCAAAACUGCCUGUUAUAUAGUAAAUCGGUCGCCAUCUACAGCUAUUGGGUUGAAGACAGCGAUGGAGAUGUGGACUGGAAAGCCAGCUGAUUAUUCCUACCUACAUGCAUUUGGAUGUCAUGUGUACGUGAUGUACAAUGCCCAAGAAAGAACAAAGCUGGAUCCAAAAUCUAGAAGAUGUAUCUUCUUAGGGUAUGCUGAUGGAGUAAAGGGGUAUCNNNNNNNNNNNNNNNNNNNNNNNNNNNNNNNNNNNNNNNNNNNNNNNNNNNNNNNNNNNNNNNNNNNNNNNNNNNNNNNNNNNNNNNNNNNNNNNNNNNNNNNNNNNNNNNNNNNNNNNNNNNNNNNNNNNNNNNNNNNNNNNNNNNNNNNNNNNNNNNNNNNNNNNNNNNNNNNNNNNNNNNNNNNNNNNNNNNNNNNNNNNNNNNNNNNNNNNNNNNNNNNNNNNNNNNNNNNNNNNNNNNNNNNNNNNNNNNNNNNNNNNNNNNNNNNNNNNNNNNNNNNNNNNNNNNNNNNNNNNNNNNNNNNNNNNNAGUAGAUCUAUUGCUAGAAGUAAAUGCAUUCUAGACUUGAUUCAUUCUGAUGUUUGGGAAUCACCGGAUAUAUCUAUGGGAGGUGCAAAGUACAUGGUGACUUUCAUUGAUAAUUAUUCCAGAAGAUGUUUGGUGUAUCUAAUUAAGAAAAAGUCAGAUGUAUUUCUAGUGUUUAAAGAAUACAAAGCGUGGGUGGAACUUGAAUCUGGUAAAAAGAUCAAGUGCUUGAGGACAGAUAAUGGUGGAGAGUAUACAGACGGCGAGUUUCUUAGUUUCUGUAAGCAAGAAGGUAUUCAGAGGUAGUUCACGGUGGCAUACACUCCUCAACAAAAUGGAGUGGCGGAGCGGAUGAACAGAACUCUUACAGAAAGAAUAAGAGCUAUGUUGAGGACUGCUGGUCUACCCAAUUCAUUCUGGGCAGAAGCAGCCAAAACUGCCUGUUAUAUAGUAAAUCGGUCGCCAUCUACAGCUAUCGGGUUGAAGACGGCGAUGGAGAUGUGGACUGGAAAGCCAGCUGAUUAUUCCUACCUACAUGCAUUUGGAUGUCCUGUGUACGUGAUGUACAAUGCCCAAGAAAGAACAAAGCUGGAUGCAAAAUCUAGAAGAUGUAUCUUCUUGGGGUAUGCUGAUGGAGUAAAGGGGUAUUGUCUGUGGGACCCCACUGCCCACAAGAUCGUCAUCAGUAGAGAUGUUAUUUUUAUAGAAGAUCAACUGCAAAGAAAAGAUGGAGAUGAUGGCACUGUAAAAGAAAAGUCAGAGACUGUGCCAGUAUAUGUCGAAAAUAAUCCAGAAGAUUUAGAUUCUUCUGAAACAACACCAGAGCACGAGAAACAAGAACCAGUCGAGUCUGAGGCUCAAGAAGUUCGUCGGUCAACUCGUGAGAGACGACCGCCGGCGUGGCACUCGGAGUAUGUCACAGAGAUCAACGUUGCAUACUGUCUUCUAACAGAAGAUGGAGAGCCUUCAACUUUCCAUGAAGCUUUAAACAGCUCAGAUGUUGCUUUGUGGAUGACAGCAAUGCAGGAAGAAAUUGAGGUUCUACACAAGAACAAGACAGGGGAACUUGUACCACUACCACGUGGAAGAAAAGCCAUUGGAAACAAAUGGGUCUACAAGAUCAAACGUGAUGGUAAUGACCAAGUGGAGCGGUAUCGUGCGAGAUUGGUGGUGAAAGGAUAUGCUCAGAAAGAAGGCAUUGACUUCAACGAGAUAUUUUCGCCCGUGGUUCGACUCACAACAGUCAGAGUAGUCUUGGCAAUGUAUGCUACAUUUGACUUACAUCUAGAGCAGUUAGAUGUCAAAACUGCAUUUCUUCAUGGAGAACUUGAAGAAGAAAUAUAUAUGCUCCAACCAGAAGGUUUUGCAGAAACAGGAAAAGAGAACUUGGUUUGCAGAUUGAACAAAUCUCUAUACGGUCUCAAACAGGCGCCGAGGUGUUGGUAUAAGAGAUUUGAUUCCUUCAUUAUGAGCCUUGGAUACAACAGACUCAGUUUAGACCAUUGUGCAUAUUACAAGAGGUUUGAAGAUAAUGAUAUCAUCAUUUUGCUGUUGUAUGUGGAUGACAUGUUGGUAGCAGGUCCCAACAAAGAUCGAAUCCAAGAAUUGAAGGCACAGUUGCCUAGGGAGUUUGAAAUGAAGGACUUGGGACCAGCAAACAAGAUUCUAGGGAUGCAAAUUCACCGAGACAAAAAUAACAGGAAGAUUUGGCUUUCUCAGAAAAAUUACUUGAAGAAAAUCUUGCGGCGCUUCAACAUGCAAGAUUGUAAGUCAAUUUCUACCCCACUUCCUGUUAAUUUCAAAUUAUCCUCAAGUAUGUGUCCUAGCAAUGAAGCAGAGAGGAAGGAGAUGUCUCGAGUACCGUAUGCAUCAGCAGUGGGAAGUUUGAUGUUCGCUAUGAUAUGUACUAGACCGGACAUUGCACAAGCAGUGGGAGCAGUCAGUCGAUACAUGACGAAUCCUGGUGGAGAGCAUUGGAUAGCUGUGAAGAGGAUUCUGAGAUACAUCAGAGGAACAUCAGAUGUUGCAUUAUGUUAUGGAGGAUCAGAGUUUACUGUCAGAGGCUAUCUGGAUUCAGAUUUUGCAGGAGAUCUUGAUAAAAGAAAAUCCACUACUGGUUAUGUGUUUACACUUGCGGGAGCAGCUGUAAGCUGGGUUUCGAAACUGCAGACCGUUGUAGCUUUAUCUACAACAGAAGCAGAGUACAUGGCAGCUACACAAGCUUGCAAGGAAGCUAUCUGGAUACAAAGAUUAUUGGAGGAGCUCGGGCACAAACAACAGAAAAUUCCUGUAUUUUGUGACAGUCAGAGUGCCUUGCACAUUGCAAGGAAUCCAGCCUUUCAUUCCAGGACAAAGCACAUAGGAGUUCAGUAUCACUUCGUUCGAGAAGUAGUGGAAGAUGGAAGUGUGGAUUUACAGAAAAUCCAUACGAAGGAGAACCUAGCAGAUGUUUUGACCAAGCCGAUAAAUACUGAUAAGUUUNNNNNNNNNNNNNNNNNNNNNNNNNNNNNNNNNNNNNNNNNNNNNNNNNNACGGGCUUGGCAUUUAAAAGAAGAAGUUGGCAACUACUUUGAAAUAUAUACAUAUAUAUAUUAAUUUAAUAGCCAUUUUUUGGCUAUAAAAGGAAGAGCUUCCUCAUUCAUUUUCAUUCAAUUCCAUCGAGAGAAAUCUUUCUUUCUUUUGAAUGUUGAGAGUUUUCAAGAGUUUAAUAAACUCUUGAGUGUCUAGUGAGUGAGAGAUUGGGUGUAUUAGGAUUUUGGGUAGUGAGCUAAAAUCUUACAAUACUUGUAAUCCUUAUUUCACUAGUAAAAUAUUUCUUUCUGUUUUCGCCCGUGGACGUAGGCUAAAAGUUGAACCACGUAAUUUUCUAGUGUCCUCUUUGUGCUUGUUCUUUUUGAUCCCUACAAUUAAUUGCUUGAAUUGAUCUGAUGACAAUUGAUUGCCUGUUUCAUAUGCCAAAAAGUAAAGCUCAAAGCUUAAGUUAGAGAAAAUCAAGGGCGUUCCCAUUGAGUCUAUCUUCAAAGAUGAUCUAAAAUUUAAAAGCAUUCACAUAUGAGUUGGACUCUUGGCACCCUUUAGAAGUCGAUUUUCAUUGGAGAGAAUUGCAAGCUUUAACUGUUAUUUAUAGUACAAUAAAUUAAAUUGUUCAUGAAGAGCGAUCAUUGUAUUACCUUUCAAACACCAUUAAUUAUUAGCAGAGCCAUAAAAAAGAUGAGACAAGUGUGUUCAUGGAAUUGAACAAUUUAGAAUAGUUUUAAUUAAGGUUAUCUUAACUAAUAGUUCAUAUAUUCUAAAAAAUAAUAAUUGAUACUUGUUUUUUAUUAAAAUUUUUAUUUCGCUUAUUUUCAAGUGAGCAACUUAAUGUUAUUUUACAAAAGAUUUUUCGUUCCUGUUGGGAGUUGAAAAUUAGAAAUAAAUCACAAUGAUAAUGAAAUUUGUUUUAAUCAAGUGUGAGCGAGUAAGAAGAAUCAGAAAAAUAAGAGGAGAGAGAAAAUAAAAAAGGAAACAAAGAAAAGAAAAAGGAAUUUGUGAGUAAGAGGAAUGGAAACCAAUUGAUUUGGAGUUUGAAGAGGGAAAUUGUAACACUGCCGCAUUGGGGUUUGGGGUUUCAAUGUUUCAUGAAGAAUAGUUUAAAUUAAAGUUAUUUUUGUCAUUAAUGGUGACGUUAUAAGAUAUUCAAAUUAUUUUAAAGGAAAGGUUACCUAGAGCUAGCUUAGUAAUGCUGUAACUUUUAAAAUAAUUGCUGUUCUUAUACCAAUUAAUAGAGCAAGAUAAAAGUGUUGGAUUUUUAAUCCAAUAUUGUUGGAUCUUUAAUCUAAUGUUGGGUUUAUAUGUGAAUAAUCAUGUGUUGCAGACUGUCAUAUAAAGUUAAACCCAAUUAAAAGUGAUCUAUUAAGGUUUUCGGUAUUAUGGACUUUAAUGUAUCUAAUUAGGUGUAGACCUUUAAUGUAUAGAGACUCAAUAUUAUUCUAAUUCUAUAAUGGGCAGAAUUAGCAAUACCUAAUGAUAACAGGAAAAAGUUGUCUAUAUAAGUGGUUAUAGUCCCUAGGUCAUACGUAUGUUUCUAUUCUUUAUUGACAUCCCAUCAUGAGAGAGAGUAGUGAGAAACUUAAAAGAUUCUCUAAGAGAACGUGUAGAUCUAGAAGGUCAACCACACAACUGUGGAGAGCAAUUCAACGUUAUGGAUUCAGGUAUGCUUCCGUAUAAUUCAUUAUUGAUUCUUAGUGAUACAACAUGAAUAUUCAUGGGUUAUAGGUGAUGGUAUUCAUUAAUGAUGGCGUUAUAAGAUAUUCAAAUUUUUUUAAGGGUGAGAUUACCUAGGGUCAGCUUGGUAAUAUUGUAACUUUUAAAACAAUUACUGUUCUUAUAUCAAUUAAUAGAGCAAGAUAAAAGAAACAAAAUGAUAAUAUAAAUAAACACUAGAUAUCAUUUUAGCACUAGACCAAACCAACGUGAUUAUACUAUGAUAUAAUCGAAGUAUGAUUAGAUCUCGUUCUAAUUUAAACGAUUCAAUGAGAUUUAACAACACUUUAAGUAAGAUUAGAUUACUCUAAUUCAAAUAAUUUUACAAGAGAGAUUUUGAUAGUUAAUCCCAAAAGAAUUAUAAAAAAAAGGUUUUGUUUGAUAUAUUAAUCAAAAGAUUAUAAAAACAAUAAGAAGAUCUCCUUAUUUAUAAUAUGGUAAACAUACCUCCACAAGUUAACUUAAAAAAGAAAAUCAAAUAACAAUUAUAAUGGAAAUAGAAGAUUAAAACACAUAUCAUGAUGUGUCAAUACUAUUUUAUUAGUACGAUUAUCAAUCUUUAAUUAAACUAAUAUAAUGUCCUUAUGGUAUAAUACUAGUCAUGCAAAUUAUUUGACUGUCAAAUUUGUGUAAUUUACAUGUAGAGUAUUGAAAAUUAUUAUAUUUUAUUUAAAAAUGUUAGUUAUAAGUCAAAAAAUUAAAUAUCUAAACUAUUAUACACAUGAAUAUAUAUUUAUUGGGCAAUUUGUUAUUGUGUGUCAUAAGAAUAAAAUAAAGUCAAUUAAAACUUAUGUUAACUUAAAUGAUCAAAGAAACCUAUGUAAGAAAAUAGUUAUAAGAUGAUUUAAUGAAUUUAUUGUAAAAUUUUUAUUGUUGAUUCAUAUUUAUUAAAACUAAUUUAAGAUUAUUAUAAAUAUGUUUUCCUAAGUCGGGUGGGUUUAUAUAGAUAGACGGGACAAUAAGGUGAAAAUAUCCCCACCUAUUACAUCCCCAGAUUCACCGUGGUUUCCCAAAAAAAAAAAAAUUUUUAAUUGCGACAAAACAUAUUUAUACUAAAAUAAAUAUCAAGUCAAUAUAUUACAAUUAACCUAAUAUUUAAUCGCGUAAUAAUUAGGUUGACGUAUUGGAAUAAAACUUUAAACUUAAACCCGACAAAAUUAGGAAAUGAACUUACUGACUCGUGUUCAUAUUGGAUUUAUCAUAUCGCUGACCCGUGGCCCACACUCAUUCGUGCAACGUACUUUUUCACAAUUGUUGACAUUGUUUUUUUCGUAGACUAAGUUAACAACAUGUCCCUGGAGCUGGCUACGGUACAGAUUCUGUAACAUACAGACCGGGUUAGCCAGCUCCCCAAGGGUGCCAUUUUGUCACGGGACGAGAGGUUUCAAGCCCGUGCAGUACUCCCGCAUCCCAUACUACGAGAGUAAGCCUAGUGGAAGUGGCAUAAUAUUGACUGGUUUCGCCCUGUCUUGGGCUCAUCAGGAGAACGACUUCCGUUCCCAACCAGUGUGUGUAGGGUUUCGCCUAGACCCCUCUUCAAGAUUAAGUCCUCGACUAGCGACAAGCUCCCCAAAAUCAAUCGGGUCGGCCUGCCUGAACUCCAAAGAGUCUAGGGCCAUUGUAUUCCCCACACGCACGCCCCUGAAGCACGUCUCCAACAAUCAGCACAACCAUCAUCGACACUAGCGUACAAGCGCAUAUCUUGGGUGCCACGAUUGCGGUUCGUGACAUUCUCCCACCGCCAUGACCAUGCACAUCCUCGUGCAUGAAGAGUACGCCUCGCAAAUGUGCACUUCCGCGCGAAAACGUGAAGAUCGGCUUGCCAAUCUCACCCAUGAACUCCUUGCCUACUCGUCCUCGAUCCGGGGAGAGGACCCACGUGCAGACGCUACCCAACUCAGUGCGAACGCUUGGGGGUGUGAGAACCCACUUGUUCGUCCCGCUUGUCGACCCUUGCGCCCAAAAGGGUGGGGACCUGCGUGGUGCGGCAUUGGAGCGCUUGGCGAGCUCGCAACGAGGGCUUCGAGAGAUGACAAGCGCGGCUCUGAUACCAUUUGUCACGGGACGAGAGGUUUCGAGCCCGUGCGGCACUCCCGCAUCCCAUACUACGAGAGUAAGCCUAGUGAAAGUAGCAUAAUAUCGAUUGGUUUCGCCCUGCCUUGGGCUCAUCAGGAGAACGGCUCCAGUUCCCAACUAGUGUGUGUAGGGUUUCGCCUAGACCCCUCUUCAAGGUUAAGUACUCGACUAGUGACAAGCUCCCCAAACUCAACCGGGUCGGCCUGCCUGAACUUCAAAGAGUUUAGGGCCAUUGUAUUCCCCAUACGCACGUCCCUGAAGCACGUCUCCAACAAUCAGCACAACCAUCAUCGACACUAGCGUACAAGCGCAUAUCUUAGGUGCCACGAUUGCGGUUCGUGACAAUUUGCUUGCUUUAUUUCCAAUGCGGGAACACGUGGAGUGUAUGGAGUGGGGGAUGUGUGUUAUGGAAUCUGUAACAUAGAUUUCUCCCCAUGUCCCUGACUGGAAAAUUGUUACCAAUCACGUCUUAUCAAAUAAAGGGGAGUGAGGUGCCACUGUGUUUUUGCUCGUGACGUGAAAUUUAAACCAAGAAAUUUGGUAUAAUGGUAACAAAAAUAUCGUUAUAUUUUUAUUCGGAUGUGACAUUAUUUUUAUCAUUUUGGUAUGUGACAUUGUUUUUAUCAUUUUGGUAUGCAUCUUUUUGUUAAGACUCUUUGUCAUUUUUCCUUGAGCUCUAGGAGCUGUGAUAUUCCUCGGAACCAUAGAACUAUACGUAAUUACAUACUUGCAUCUGUAAUUAAGAACACUUACCCAGAGAUUUGUUCCCUUCAAUUCAUUGGUACGACAAUUUCUCUCAUGUUAAUUAUAACCAUGAUGUGGCUCAUAAUUCACAAUUGAUUGAAUUGGUCUGAUGAUUGUUUCAUAUGCCAAAAAGUAAAGCUCAAAUUAAACGUAACUUGGAGAAAAUCAAAGACUUCAUCAUUUUCAUGUUUUUAUUGGGUCUCAUAAUUUUUCCUUGUUGGAAAUUUCGAACGUGCAAAAGAAGUUAAAAACUUUUAUUAGUUUAUAUAAGAACUGAUUGUCAUGGCCGAGAUAAAUCUGAAUUUCCUUUUUUAUUAUGGAUAAUUCAUAAUUGGAUAUGGAUACGAGUGGGAUGAAUCAUCCACCGCAGAUAUGCCCCAUUGCUAUAAAUACUAACCAGUAACAACAAUUGCUUGAUUAAUGUUUUGUUUGAAGACUUCAAUCAAUUUUGAUUCAACCGAGAUCAUAACUUUGUCAUGCAUGCAGUCGCACUCUAUAAAAUGCUCGAGUGUUAGCACCUAAUUAAGAUUGAUAUUCUACGUGCACAAGCACUAAUCGUGUAAAUAAAUUAAGAGUGAUGAUAGAGCCAUAAACUCUUGUACAAACUUAUCUUGUACAAAUUGAUGUGGCAUUAAUUCAUUAGUUGAAUGAAAAUACAAAAUAACAAAAAUAAAUCAUGUGGGCAAAAAAAUAUUUAAUUCAACCAAUUUUAUUAUGCCAUAUCAGUUUGUACAAGAUAAAUUUAUAUACGAGUUUGUAACUCUAUCAUUACUAAUAAAUUAAUUAAAUAUUUUUCUUUCUAAUUGUGACAAUCAGCACAAAGAAAAAUUGACAUGCCACGUAUUUGUAAUUAAGUUCCCUUAGAUAUUUAUCUUUGAAUGUGUGACAUGGCAAACACGGACUUUGGAGUAGUUUUGGGGUUGUUAGUCAUUGACUUUGGAGUAGCUGUGGGGUUGUUAGUCAUUGACUUUGGAGUAACUUUAUUGGGUGAUCGACGAUCUAUCUCCAUAUAAACACUGCAUCCACCUUUGGAGUUAGGAAAGUUGUAACUGCUAACUUCAGUGUUGUUACAAGCGUUUAUCCUUGCAUCCAUUUGAUCUAAUUGAGCUUUCAUAAAUUGAAAACUCUCCUGAUACAUUCUCCGUUCUCGUGCCAACUCCGUAGAGUAAGGAAUAUUGAAAUACAUGGAUGGGGUGAUGAAUUGACCCAAUCUUUGCACCUGACUUCUAUUAGACUUCUUUUGAAGGAUUUCACAUAGGAUAUCAUUCGGUCCUUGGGAUUGGAACGUUCCUUGCUCAACUUGGCUUCUUAGCUCACUGUACAAAAUAAAUACAAAAAUAUUUAAUCAAAAUUAGGAAUAAAAAAAUAAGUUAAAUAAUGACAGUUUAAACAUACAUCACAUUACCAACAUUUUUCGAAAUAAACAAAGCAACCUAAUCUGUCAAUUUACAUGAUUUUGUAUUAUAAAAUAAUUCAGGCAGCUUUCAGUUUCAAACUAUUUGCAUUGGUAUUUUUCAGUGGUGGUGGAAACUUACAAUUAUUUCAACCAUUUGCUACACAUUAGCUGUAUAAGUUCCAUCUUUUUUUCCUGUGACCCAAUAACCAAACUUCACCGCGGUCAAUCUUGCGCUCAGAAACUCCGAGGUCCAACUGCUAUAAUAAUUCAAUAAAAAUUAAAUUCAAAACUGCUAUGAAUCAUCUUAUUAUUUGUAUUGAAAAUGUCAUAAGUUUGUAUAAAGUGGUUAUUGUACUUACUCUUUUAUGCAACAACCCAUCAUAUCUUGUGCUGCCCAAGUGAUGAUUGUACACAUUCUUCGCUGCCUUACUUUUUUCCUGCACAAAGUGGAUAUUGAUUAAAAUGGUUACAGGAACUCAAUAAUAUUAUCUAACUAACAAAAUUUUAAACAUAUCUGAAAGUCUUCGGAUAAAAUCUUAUCAACAAAGCUCUUCCAGUCCUCUUUUCUAAUGCCUUCAUACUCAAGAUGAGGCUUUUUCAGUGAACUCAAGCUGUUUGCAUUGGGCAAAAUAUAUUCAUUGGCCAACUUACAUCUAAAGCCCCUUAAUGCAAUUCCCAUCCACUUGAAAACUUGGGUUUUCACCUUAAGGCUCAACUUGAACUUUUCCUGAAAAUGAGUCUAUAACGUCUCCUUGAUGUCUAGUGGCACUUUCCUCCAAUCAUCAUAUAUAAUUGGAACUCUUUCCCAUACAAUCACCCCAAUGUAGUUUCUCAGAUCAUUUAUCUUUUUUCCAACUGGAACUCCAUACGAAUUGUACAUAACCUCAGUCUCAUCACUAACUCCUCUCUGCAAGUUUUUCUUCUUUGUAAGGUUUCGUCUUGGUCUUCCUUCCAGAUCUAGAUCAUAUGUUGGCUCCUCAUUUUCUGCCAUGUCUCUAACAAACCUACAAAUACAUAAAAGUGGAUGAGUGCACCAGAUACCAUUAUAAUAUCCCAAUAUAAUAAUAAAAUAAUAAAAAACAAAUUAGUUGCUGACUUACGGGAAGUAGUGCUAAUAAGGCAUAGUAGUUGGAUUAUUCAUUUUCCGCAUCAAUAUUUACAUGAAAAACAUCAACAACUGAUCUUACACAAAUUCCUCAUCACCCAAAUCUAACUUACAUUCUGGAAAAUUGUUGGAUAAUAGCACAUACUCAUUAAUGCCAUUCAUUUGAAUAGUUACAUUUUUCACUCACUGAACAAACAAUUGAUUUACUAUUAUCUAACUGAUCAUUCACAUAAAACACUUGCUUUGCAUGACCAGCUAAAAUGAAACAGUUAUAUUUGUAGCCUAUCCGAUCUAAAUUGACUACAGUGAACCCUAACUCAUCAACGUUAACCCCUCUAUCAUCUACCCAAUCGCACUUGAAAAGUACCUUCUUAACCCCCAGAUAAUCAAGCUGCCAAAUUUCAUUGACAACCCCAUAAAAAGGCAUAUCCCUAGAAUGAGGAUUUUUGUCUUUCGAACUUGAAAUCUGUAAAGUGUUAGCAACAACAUAAACGCCAUUGUUUUGUGUUAUGCGGUUGUUGUCCCGAUCUCUCGUAUCAAAAUUAAAACCAUUAAUACAAUAGUCUUCAUAUGUAACCACGCUUGAGCGGGGUUUGUUUGCCAACCACCAUACUUUUUCGUCAACCACUUCAUUAUUUGUUUUAUCAGUUUUUAGUUGUUACCUAUUGUUUAAUUAAUGAAACCACCAUAAUUAUUUGAAAGAGAAAAAUUUGUUUACCUUUACUCUGGUACUUUUAUUAGACCCAAUGAAGGUAAUCUAACUUUUUGUUUCAGCCAAUCAACAAAUGUACGGGAGUGCUCGGUUGGCAACCAUAAAGGCUUUUCUAUUUGACAAGGGUGUUUUGAUUGUAGUAAGGCCAAAUGCUCCAUAAAAGUAUACCAACAUAAUUAAUAAAAUUGAAAAAAAAAACUUAAUGAAAAAGAGGUGCAAAUUUUUAGUCACAUACUCUAUAUAUGGUUGAAUCUCAGGGGUGUUCACCAAAACACAUCGGUGCGCUUGCGCCAAUGUAGGGGCAUCAACCGCCUUAAUAUUUGCACCUCUGAGUGGUCUUUCGACUGUAAAAUCAAUUAGACAACCAGUAGAUAGUCUGAUUGAUUUAUAAUUUGAAAGGUAUUCAACACAAAAUUCAAGUGCUUCCUCAACUAUAUAGCACUCUGCAAUGCAACCUUCAGGACGGUAUCAAUUGUGUACAUAAUCCUUUAUAGGUUUCAUUUCUCUCUUAAAUGGAUACAUCCAUCGAUAGUGAACCAGGCCACAUAAUCUAACUUAUUCAAGUAUAUGGUCUGUUAAAGGGACCAUUAUAUCGAAAAAGGCAGGUAUGAAAGAUUGUUCUAAAUUGUAUAAGGUGAUUAUUAAGUUUAUUUUGCAAUUGGUCUAGAGAAUCAUGCUCUACUACCUUAGAACACAAAAAAUUAAAGAAGAGGCACAACCUGAUUAUGACGGAUUUGACAUUUUAAGGCAAACAAUUCCGAAUUGCUAAUGGUAGUAGUUGUUGCAUCAAGGAAUGACAAUCAUGAGACUUAAGCUCAUGAAGACAACGAUCAUCCAUUGAAACAAGAUUUCUAAAAUUAGAACAAUAGCCAUCAGGAACUUUGACACCUUGUAAAGUUUCACAGAAUUUUUUUUUCUUUCUUACUUAAAGUGUAUGGGGUAGGGGCAGGACUUUGUUUUGUUUAUCAGGAGCUAAUGGAUGUGUAAGAUCUUUUCUAGCAUUAAUUCCAUCUUUUUUUUUCCCCGGUUGAUGGAGCAAUGUGCUCUAGAUGCUCUCACAUACAUUUUUCUCAAUGUGCAUCACAUCUAGUUGAUGGCUAACUAACAAAUGUUCCCAAUAUUCUAAAUCAAAGAAGAUUGAUCUCUUUUUGUACAACAACUGAGUUACAUCCCCAUUACCCUCACCCUCACUUUGAACCUCACUAUCACCCUCACCCUCAACUUUAACCUCACCUUUACCUUCACCCUCACUUUUACCCUUACUUUACCUUCACCUUUACCCUUGCUGUAACCCUCACCCUCACCCUCACCAUGUUUUCGCUUUUUUUGGACCUUUUUCCCAAACUUGGUGUUAAUGUCAGCAACCAAGUUUAAGAUCUCUAUACCAAACAAAGGCCUAUGAGGAUUUUCAAUAAACAGCGUAUGACCCAUAUAUGACAUUUUUCGAUUAUGUGGUAGCCAACAUGCACAUGUGUUUAUCCCACAAAUUGGAUAACCAUAAUACCCAUUAACAGUACACCCAGACAGGUUUUCAUAAGUUGGAAAGUCACUAAUCGUCUACAUCAACACAACUCGUAAAUUAAAAGUUUGUUUCCUAUAAGCAUCAAACACAUCGAUGCCUACAUCCCAUAGGGUUUUCAAGUUCUCAAUCAAUGGUGCUAGGUAUAUAUCUAUGUCAUUUCCAGGUUGUUUAGGGCUAGAUAUCAGUAAAGAUAACACCAUAAACUUCCUCUUCAUACACAGCCAUGGAAGAAGGUUAUAUGUUAUCAACGUAAUAGGUUAACAACUAUAAGUAGUGCUAAGUGUGCUAUGUGGGUUAAUCCCAUCAGAUGAUAAAGCCAACUAAAGAUUUCGCAGCUCCUGGGCAAAAUUAGGCCAUUUCUUGUCAAUUAACUGCCAAACUGGUGAAUUUGCUAGGUGGCAAAGCUUGCCAUCUUUAAUUCUUUUAUUUUCAUGCCAUGUUAAGUUCUUAGGAGUUUGUGGUGAUUGAAACAUUCUUUUGAACCUAGGAAUUAUAGCUGUACCGUACAUCCGCCUUGGCCGUACAGCAGGGCAUGUAAAACCGGAGUGAACGAACACAAAAUUUUUUACAUGGUUCGACAAAUUAUCUUAUGUGCUGUGUCCUUGCCUCUAAAAAAAAAUAAAAAUAAAACGUUGUGGUUUAAUAGGGUGUAUAUGUCGUUUUAUCUAUUAUUAAUUACUGUUUGCAAAAGAAUUUAUAUUUAAUAUUGAGCUGAUCUGUACUCAACUCUUCAUACGUACAGAAUAGAUGAUUAAAAUGUAAUUAGUUUUAUAUUCUUGUCUAACUAUUAAUUGUGUAUUACUGAAUCUAAAUCCGCGCAAAAAGCUUUAUGAGAUAGAGAUAGGGACAUAUAAAUGUACGUACAUACGGAAAACAUAGCAAACGGUGCCGUUAGAGAAGGAGCAAUUGCAGGUGACAGCAUUCUCUUCUGGAAUCUCAGCCCAUCCCUCUUCUCCACUGCAUGGAUCUACGCUGAAGUUCCAGUCCUUCUUCCCUAGCGUAUUGGCUAUAUCUUUUAAAGCUUGUACUGCAUGCAUCAAAUUGUUACAAACACGUACGGCUAAGUUUAACUGAUAGCGUUCAACAAUAUCAGCAUAAAAAAAUUAUUAAAAAAAAUUCCAACAUUUUCUUUUUCUUUAUUAAGUUUUGAUGUUCAUUUUUUCGUACAUCCGCCUUGGCCGUACAGCAGUAAGUGGUUAUUCUAUUUUGUGUAAUGAAGAACUUUUUAUUCUUAACUCUUGGGUUCAAGAAUUCCUUCUUCUUUUUAAUUUCUCCUAUAUAAAUAUACAUUUUCAAUUUUUUUGUUGAGUCGAAGAUGGCUGAAUAUGGAGUGUAGUGCCUCUAGAAACGCAUCUUCUUAGUAAAAAAAAAAAAAAACCAUUUUCUUUUUCUAUCAUUUUAAGUGUAACUUUUCUAAUUAGUUUUUAUGCAUCCUUUUCACAUUUCUGCAUGCAUAUUUUCCUUUCAUGUUUAGGAUAGGUUGUGGGGUAUAAUGUUGUUUUAAAAAAAAAAUUUGUGUGAUUUGUUUUAACAUUGGAUGACAUGAUUAAUUUCAAAUUUUAGUAUUUGUAUUAUCUUCGGUCUUAAGUGAUGUUACGCUAUGUUUGCUACUUUACAUAUUGAUGUCGGAGACAAAUAUGAGUUGCUUGAAGGAAUGAACAUGUCAUAAUAAGUACCAAGUGAGUUUUUGAGCCUAUCAUUUUUCUUGGAGAGUAACCCUUUUGCCCGUUCUUUAUAUAACUUAGCCCGUUCUUUAACCCUUAAAAAAAAAUUGUAAAAUUAAAAAAAAAAAGUGUGUUGCUACAUUUGGAGGCCCAUCUAACUAGUAGAUAUGGAAGAUUAUUUAGAGCCCUAAAAGAUGAUGGAAAUGCCAUCUUUGAUCCGUUUGAGCCUUUCUAGCCAUCCCUUUUAUGAAAUAUCCAUAGUUAACCCUUUUGAGCCUUUAAAAAAAAAAAGAAACAUUUUCUUUGUCAAACUUAUCAUCUUGACCCACUCCGAUUUGGAGUAUUACCCAAUAAACUACGCUUGAAAUGGUUUACGAGUGGAGAAUGAAUAUAGUUUACCUUACCUAUGUUAAAUCUUUCAAGAACUCUUUCAACAAGUGCUUCUUGAGAUAACCAUAACUUCCUAGAUUUUCUAUCACAAGAAAUAUUCAUGCCAAGAAUCUGUUUUGCCGGUCCUAAGUCCUUCAUUGUAAAAAACUUGCUAAACUAUUUUUUAAAUUAUCAUUUUUACUAACAUCCUGGCCAAGAAUGAACAUGUCAUCCACAUAGAGCAAAAAAAUAAUAAAAUCAUUAUAACUAAACUUCUUCACAAAAAGACAAUAAUCAGACAUAAUCUUGAUGAACUAUGAUUCUCCAUAAAAGAAUCAAACUUCUUGUACCAUUGUCUUAGUGCUUGUUUCAGCGUAUAUAACUUUUCUUUAACUUGUACACAAGUUUUUCUUUACUUUUGACAAUGAAUACUUUAGGUUGCUCCAUGUAUAUUUCCUCUUUUGAGGCUUUGUGCAAGAAAUCUAUCUUUACAUCGAGCUGUUUAAUCCCCAAAUUCAAGCUAGCUACUAAUCCCAGAAUAACUUAGAAAAUAUCUUCACCACAGGGGAGAAUAUUUCUUCAAAAUUGACACAUUUCUUCUUACCGAAACCCUUCACAACCAAUUUAGCCUUGUACUGCUGUUGUGAGUUAUUUUCAAUCUUCAAUCUCUAAACUCAUUUGUUCUUUAGUGCUUUUUUUUUAAAGAAGAUUUGUUAAGUCAUAAAUUUGGUUCUGAUUCAAGAAUUUCAUCUCUUUUUGCAUAACUUUAACUGCUGUACCGUACAUCCGCCUUGGCUGUGUUGCUACAUUUGGAGGCCCAUCUAACUAGUAGAUAUGGAAGAUUAUUUAGAGCCCUAAAAGAUGAUGGAAAUGCCAUCUUUGAUCCGUUUGAGCCUUUCUAGCCAUCCCUUUUAUUAAAUAUCCAUAGUUAACCCUUUUGAGCCUUUAAAAAAAAAAAAACAUUUUCUUUGUCAAACUUAUCAUCUUGACCCAUUCCGAUUUGGAGUAUUACCCAAUAUCUUACAAGUUCCAUCACCUAUUUAUGUUUGAGAAAAAUGUAAAUAAUAUUUUGUAAAGUGAAGUUAUGCCCAACAAAAGCAAAAAAAAAAAAAAUUGUUGUUUAAAAAAAAAAGAAAAAAAUUAACAAUAAUAGGUGAAAUCCACCUUGCAACUUCCAAAAAAAAAAGAAAAAAAAAUUCCUGUGUAUUUUUCUCAAACAUACACUUUGUUUUCCUUAUUUCCCUUCUUUGUUAGUCAUGUCCCUAGCCUACGUUACGUCCUAAUAAAAGUCCUUCUUGAUUUUAGAGAACUAUAAUCUGAAGUAGAAGCUAGUUAUAUGGGCUAAAAAGAUGUAGUGGUGCAUUAAAAAAUAAUAAAUAAAAAUAAAUAAAUUGGGUUGACUAGUAUUUUUAUUUGACUUGAGAUCGUAUUAUUUCUAAGCUGGGGGCAUAUUUCUUUCAUCUUGGUGAGAGCAUGUGAUAUCACUUCUUUAUUAUUUUCUCUCUCAAGUACCAUUCAUUGGAGUGACUAUUUUUAUUGGGUUUAAUUUCUUUAUGAGAGUGUCACUACUUUCAGUGAGAUUUUGGGGUUGACAUGUCAUUCUUGAAAGUAGCUAUGACAAUCUACUAGGCUGAUUCAUGUGGAUGAUUAAUGUGGGUGUGAUGUUGCUUUAGACUAGAGAUAAUGCUUAUACUUUUAUUUGAUUGCUAUCAUUAGUCUGAUUGAAUAAACAAGAUUGUUUAAAAACAAAAAUUGUGUUUGAAUUUUGUUUUCACUUUAUUUGCUAGGGACUAGCAAUAAGCUGGUUGGGGGGUGUGUUGAGUGUUAGAAAAUGUAUAUUUAUAAAGGAGAAAAUCGUCAUUUUACAUUUCAAGUCUUACUAACAACCCUUACUUUUAUGUAUUUAAACUUCUUGUAAUUUAAUUAUGUGUGUUUUAUUUUAAUUUAGUAUUUUAUGUAUUUUAGGGACAUCAUAGUCAUUUCACAAGAAACGAGAGAUCAAACGGCAAAACGGACAUUACUUUUGAACUCAGGACGGUCGAAAACCUUAGGAGGAGCAUAAAAGGAAAAAUGGCACUAUUCACAUGUACGGUACUAUUCACGNNNNNNNNNNNNNNNNNNNNNNNNNNNNNNNNNNNNNNNNNNNNNNNNNNNNNNNNNNNNNNNNNNNNNNNNNNNNNNNNNNNNNNNNNNNNNNNNNNNNNNNNNNNNNNNNNNNNNNNNNNNNNNNNNNNNNNNNNNNNNNNNNNNNNNNNNNNNNNNNNNNNNNNNNNNNNNNNNNNNNNNNNNNNNNNNNNNNNNNNNNNNNNNNNNNNNNNNNCAUUUUUGGGAUCCAUUUUCUGUAACUCCCUCUCCAUCUUGUACUUUCUUCGUAUUUUAAUAAAUUCUCAUUUUGCCUCUAGUUCAAUUAUGAGUGGCUAAUUUUCUUUUAAGCUUGGGUUGAAGGUGAAGUCUCAACAUGUGUCAUGGGCUUUAUUUGGUAAAUUUAUUUUCUUUUCCCCUCUAGUUUUUGUGGAUGUUUUGACUUCUCGUCGACAAAUAAUACUAAUCUUGUCUAGUAUCGCCUUAGUUUCACCGGCCCUCUAGUACAAGGUUAUUAUUAUUUGGCACAAUAAGCCCUUAGCACCAUAUUGAUUAGAGCGUGGUUCAUGAGGUGUGGAUUCCCCCCUCAUGAUUUAAUUGGCAUUAAUAAGGAUUAUUUAGCACAUGAUGCAUGUUGAUACGGAUCCAGAUACCCAAGUACGUCAUCUCAAUAUAUUUCUCUUCAAUUUAUUCUCCCCAUUUCAAUUCCAAUUUUAGGAUAAUCCAAAUCAUUUUCACAACAAAUCCAACCACCCAUUUACAAAAUUAACUCUACACACAAUUAAAAUCCACCUACUCGUGGGAUCGACACUGGUCACCAUUAGUCUAUUCUACAAUAGAUUCGUGCGCUUGCGAGUUCAAUAAAAUUUGCACAACAAUCUACAUAACUAUAAUUCAGACAUCUAAAACACUAAUUUUGUGGCUGGUCUUGGUAUUUUACAGAGGUAAGUUUCGGGUCCACCUCACCGUGCCAAUUCUAAACUAAAUAUUUUUCUAAAAAACCCUUUUUAAACAGAUGUAGCCUUAGUUGUUCUGGAGUUAAAAACUUCAUAUUACAAAAAGAGGUACAAGGACAUCUAAUUGACAUUCUAUUUUCAGACAAUCUAUCACAGAAUAUCCAAGUUUUGUCCAUAACAUGUAUUGUUACAUGUUCAUUUGUUAGAUGUUGUUAGCUUAAUAAGUUUAGUUAAAUUAAAAAUAUAAAUUGCAAAAUAAAUCUAAGUUCUAUUUAUUUAGAGUCACUUAAAUACAUGUAUGCAUUCAACAACCCAACAUAGCAUAUAUGUAAGCAUUCAGUAACCCAACAGAGCAUACAUGUACACAUUCAACAAGCCAACAGAGCAUACAUGUACACAUUCACCAAGCCAGCAAAAUAUACAUGUACACAUUCAGCAAGCCAACAAAACAUGCCACAUCCACAUUUUUCAAAAUUUUAUUUUCAUAUUAGAACAAACAAAAGUAUAUAUUAGAAUAAACAAUUUAAUUCCAGAAGAGUCUAUGCAACAAAAACGAAACUAAAACCAUGCAUGUCAAUAUUUAAAACAUGUCAGUACAAGUAAAACUCAUAACACUGAUAAUAGAAACUGAAAGAAAGUGAGUGAUUUAAAAAAAUUACCAAAUGAAGACAACUGUUACACCGUAAACUUUUUUAAUUCUUCAGAAGCGAGAGAUUAAAUUGAACAUAUUAAUUCAACUUAUUAGAGCUACUCAAUUGAAAUAAACAUGCAAGAUAUAAGAAAAAGUAAUAACAAACUAAACAUUUUAGUCUAAAGUCAAUAAUUCAAUAUUAAAAUGCAAACAAAAGUUUCCUAUACAAACAAAUAAAGGUCCCUUUCAAAAGUUUAUUAAUUUAAAGAUCCUAUAAAAAAAUAAAAAACAAACAAGCUGCAUGUGGUUGUGACACUAAAAUGGUCAAGGCUAUUGUACCCAUCAACAUAUGAAUGAAGAUUUAAUUAUAUUGUUAAUUACUACGUCAGAAAGUUGUACAAGGGAAAUCACAUAAAAAAAAAAUUAAGGACAAUGCUUGUUGUUGUUGAAGUGUUUGCAUGUGAGAUAUUGCAUUUAUACUAAGUCUAGCAAGUGCAUUAUAGGGAAAAGAUUGAUGAAUUGACCCAAAUUGAAUAUGUAUCUUUAUCAAUGGCUAAUUAAAUGGAACAAGUUAGGCCCAAAAUUGAAACUAUCAUGCAAAAUUUUAAAUGCAAUUUCAAUAAAUGGGGAAAAGGGGAAAAACUCAAAUCUGCAUUGACAUUGUAUCCAUCAAUUCCAGUUAAAGUGUACAUGAAAUUCAAGUCGAGUGACAUGGCAACUAAAGAAAGAGAGGAAAGAAAACUAAUUUGAAUCAGGCACUUAUAAAACCACUCUUAGUUAAAAACUCUGGUACAAUAACUCAACUUCAAUUGCCUUUACCUCUCUGCUAUAUUUUCCCUAGUCCCAAAUUAUAAACAAUCAAGAUUACAGAAAAAAACUAAGAAUUUUAAAACCCAUUCUAUAGUUUAACCGCAACAAAACAACAUGCAUGAGGAAAAUAGUUACUAUAAAUUGGAAACAUAUUAAUUAAAAAUAAAUAGAAAUAAAUAAAUGGCACCUUCAGAAAUGAAUUUAUUGUAGUGGAGAGAGAGAGAGAGAACCGAAUCAUGAUAGAAAGGAAUUCCUGUGCUUCGGGCUUAGUUGGGAUUGACGUGAAGUUUGAUUAGAAUGUGCAGUGUCAACAGUGGGGAAUAGGAUUUUAGGGUUUUGUUUACUUAGCUUUGACAAAGAAGGAGAACCGAGAGGUGAAGAAUGAUGAGUGAAUGACUUAGAAAAAAGUUAGGUUCGAUUUUGGUCUUAGGGUUAGGACAAAACGAUGCGUUUUACUUAUUUUUAUUUUUUUCUAGGUGAAACGAUAACGUUUCUAAUUGAAUAUAUAUUAUUUACUUGUAAAAUUUCAGCCAAAACCCGCUAAAAUUUUCACUCAGGCGUGCUCAAUACAUUUCAAGUUCUUCAUAUCGCAAAACUAAUAUUCUACUGAUUCAGUAGCAUAACUAACAAAAAGUCACAUCAGUUUUAAUUUUAAACUUAAAAGCUUUGGCUUUGAAGGGUCUUGGGUUCGAAUGUCAGUUCGAAAUGAGAUUCAAAUUUUAUUUUCUUUUAUUGAUACCUUAGUGUCACCAAGAAAAAGCACAAUGGUCUUUCUCUUAAACUUAAAUGCUCCGAUGUUCGAGGUCCCCAUUUGAAUUCCAUCCGUUACGUGAUUAGAAUUAUUUUAUUUUUAUUACUAAUACUUUAGUGUCAGAGAUUUCUAAUGUCUAAAUUUCAGACACCAUAGUAUCAUUAAUUUGUGAUACUUAUGUGUUAAACACGGAAAAUAGCCCAUAUGUAUAAAAAUACUGAUACUUUUUAAUAAAAUGUCACAAACCAAGUGUCAGUAAAGACCAUUUUUGUAGUAGUGUUGUACAACUUCAUUUAGAAGGGAUAAUUUUAAAUUACUCUCGUAAAAUGAUAAUGUUUAGAAUGUGUUUAAAUUAUUGUAAAUAUUAAUUUAUAUUUUAUUUUUUUAAGAAGACAAAUAAAUUUUCAUCGACCCAUUCAUAUUUUUUCUUUAUCUUUUGAACAAAAAUGAGAAAAGUUUAAAGUUUACAAUAAUUUUAACAGUAUUAUGAUCAUUCCAUGUAGAGGGUAAUGUGAAAUUUACCCUUUCUAGAAUUAUUUUGAGUGAAAAGUUGUGUUAGUGUUUGUGUCAUGCACCACUUGGAAAGAAAAAAAGAAGAAGAAGAAGCCAGCAUGGGUCAUUAAUUUUGCACCACCAAGCUGCAUGCUUCAUCAUUUCAGCUGCUUGCUUCAGCCAUUUAUUUCAUUAUUUUAGUCAUCGGCUUGCUUCAUCAAUUUACUUGUCAUCUUGCUUAACUCGGUGGCUAUAUAAAGCACAAAUGUUGAGAGUGCUUUAUUUGAUACAUCUAAAGAAUUAAGAGCAAAAGUUAGAGACAGUGGCGAAGCUAGCAUCAUUUGUUUGGGUGGGCUAGAUUUAAAAAAAAAUGAAAUUUAUUUCUCAAAAAAUUUGUUUUAUUUAAAUGAAAUUAAGCACACUGCAUAAGCAAAAAUUUAACUAUAAAACUAUAAAAAAUACAAUGUAAAUAAGAAAAACACUAUUGACGAAGCUGUGUCCUGCGGUUCUUCAAAAAAGAAAAUUCAUCUACUAUCGCAUCUGAGUCAAUAUUGUCUGCAAUUUCUCUUUCGAUGUAAAUAACCAUACAAUCUAAAAAAAAACUCAUUCUCCAUCUUGUUUCGAUGUGUUGUCUUAAUCAGUUUCAUGGCAGAAAAUGCUCUCUCUGUUGUUGCUGUUGAAACAUGAAGGGUUAACACUAAACGAAUUAAUCUAUUCAACAAUAAAUAAAUCUGUGACUUUCUAGUCUCAACCAAUCUUUGACACAAUUUAGCAAGGGAAGUAAUAUUCUGAAACUCUUGAAGAGAGUGUAUAUCUAUCUCAAAGCACUCUAAUUGUCUUCUCAAAGCCUGUAACUCAAUCUUAGUGAAAUCUUCAGGAUAAAAUCUUUCAGCAAGGCUGCAAAUAUCUUCAAUUUUAAAUGAUUUAAAUGCAUCAAUAGGAUUUAAAGAUGAACUAAGAGUGAGGAGUUCCAAAGUCUGUUAAGUGAAUCUAUUAUUCAACUCCAUCAAUUGAAAAUCUAUCACAACAUUAAAUAUAUUAUAAUGAUAAUAAUGCUCAACUGUAAUAUAAUCAUUCUGUUGACAAGAACGUCCUCUGCCUUUCAUAUGGCGAGCUUUCAUACCAGGCAUAUCUAUCUCAUUCUUUUCACAAAAUAUAACUACGUUCUCAAUAAAAGUUUCCCAACCAUUGUCUCGCAGCCUUUGAAGAAGUUUUUUCAUAGUUGAGACUAAGUGCACAGUAUUUAGAAUAUCAUGAGAUUUAACUUGUAAUGCUUGACAAAGUAAAUCACUCACCCCCAAAACUUGAUUUAAUAAAUGCAAAAUGAACACACUUUAGCCUCUCCACGUAUGAUAUUGUUAGGCCCACACUCUACCAACUUCCUAAGAACUUUACGAACAACACUAAACAAAUCAAGCAACCUACUGACAGAACGGAAAUGAGAGCUCCACCGAGUAGCUCCAGGCCGUUGCAAAGUAUGAAUUUGAUUGGCCCCUGUACCAGUUUGAACUUCUCCUGAAGCUAUCAAAUCUAUUAUUUCUGCUUCGCAAACAUAUUUUAACUCAGAAAGCCGUUUAGCAGAUGAAGUCAGAACAUUUACAAUUGAACCCAAUACUAAAAGAAAAGCCAUACAUCUGGCACAUCAUUAGAUGCUGCAACUAAAGCAAGUUGUAGUUGAUGUGCAAAACAGUGUAUAUAAUACGCAUAUGGGCAAUCUUUAAAAAAUAAUGCUUGUAAUCCAUUCCAUGCACCCCUCAUGUUACUAGCACCAUCAUACCCUUGCCCUCGGAUAUUUUCAACUAAAAGAUCAUAUCGUGCAAGAACAUUACAUAUUUCUUUUUUCAAUGUUACUGCUGUAGUUUCCAUGACAUUGACAACUUCAAAAAAACGUUCUCGAAUAUACCCAUCACAAUCAACAUACCUUAAAACAAUAGCCAUUUGCUCUUUAUUAGAUUCAUCAAGUGCUUUGUCUACUAAAAUACAAAACUUCCCAUCUCCAAGUUCCUUGCAUAUCUUGUUUCGCACUUUGUUUGCAAGAAUAUUUAAAAGCUCUUUUUGAAUGUCAGACGAUGUAUACUUAGCAUAUGAUGGAGCAUUUUCCAAGACAACUUGAGCAAUUUCUUUACUACACUCUGCUGAAUGCUUUAUCAACUCUAUGAAAUUUCCCCGAUUUCUUGAAUUAACUGAUUCAUCAUGACCUCUAAAAGCACAUGCUUGCUUUGCUAACCAUUUAACAACAAUAAUUGAGGUAUUCAAUCGUAGCCUAUUCUCAAAAAGUUGUUGUGAAGUUUGGGCAUUAAUUAAUCUAUCAAUGUGUUGAAUUAGAUUCCUCAAACAACCCCAACUCUGCAUAUUCUUAUUAUGAUGAGAAGAUGGACCCCCUUCAUGCUGUAAAAAUGGACAUUUGUUUCCAUUGUUGACUCUCUUCCAACUAGAAAACCCUUCAAUAACAAAUUUUGGGUUGUUUGAUGGAAUUUCAUCAAAAAGAAAGCAUGGAAAACAAAAUGCACUAUCUUUUACCUCAGAGUACUCAAGCCAUGGAAAUUUUUUAAACCAGUGAUAUUGAAACCUACGUUCUUGCAUGCCAUCAUUAGUUAGUGGAUAAUCUCAUAGUUUAGGUUGAUAAGGUCCCAUUUUGAUGUACUCCCUUAGAAUAUCAUCACGUUGAUUUACUGAAUAUGUCCCUAUUUGAUGACAUAAUCCAGGAUCACGCUCCAGAUAAGUAUUUCUAGUUUCUUCAACUUCAACCCUUUGAAACUUGGAAGUAUGUUGCUCACUGAAAUCUUGAGCAUUAACUUGACAUGGAGAUAAAGACUUGGUGGAUGAUUGAUUUUCACCUACUCUCUUAAAAAAAGAAAGUAGAGUUUUUAUUGGUUUAUUUAACAUUGAAUCUGUAAUAAAAUACAUUAAAAAUUUAGUAUUUAUUUUAUAAAAAUUUGACAAAAUCGCAAGUUAAAUGCUAAUUAAAAAAAGUCAGCAUUUAAAUUAAUUGUUUUACUAUUUUAUUCACUCAUUCUUUCAUGCCAUCAUUAUUUUAUAAUUUCAAGAAGAUGAAUCAACACCUUUAUAAUUCUUUCAAGUUAAAAGCUCUUUAUAUGCUAUCAUCACCGUUUGUCACAUUCUAUUAUUUUAUAAUUUUAAAAAGAUGAAUCACAGUUCACAAAAUCAACAACUUCCAGUCUUCCACAAUUCCACUUCGUGUGCCAACAGGGCCGCAUCAAGAGACUGGGCAUUCGGCGUCGGCUCGGUAGUGAGAGAUUCAGCCUGCGGGUGCGGGCCUUGUGGCAGUGGCUCGGCGUCACUCAUGAGGCAGCGGCUGGGCGUCAAUUCGAGCGCAGGAGACUGGGUAUUCAGCAGCGGUAAGAGACUUGAGCAAUUGAAUUUUGGUGAAUUUCAAAUUUGGAUUUAGUUAGAUACUGGUGAGUUUUAUGAAUUGUGAUUUGGGGAAAAUAAAGAUUCCUAUAAUUAUUAGGUUUGUUUUUAUUUUUUUAUAAAUAUUAAUAAAAGUAAAUUUAUAAAUUAUAAAUAAUUUUUUUUUCAAAAAGCUUACCCGGGCUGCAGCACGGGUUAGCCUUCCUUGAGCUUCGCCUCUAAUUAGAGAGAAGGGAAGAAAGAAAUCGAGAAGAAAAAGAAAAAAAAAUUGAGAGAAAAAGAGAAGAGAAAAGAAAAGAACUAAUCUCCACUCAAUUAGAUGUUUCAUGGACAUAACAUUAUAGGACCAUGAUGAAGGGCCAUGUGCAACUCAACACCUAAUUCCACUUAAAUGAAUUAUUUGUGCGGAACAAGUCACUAUAAGAAAACAGGCAAUAGAUGGUGGAAAAUAACUCUCAUAAAAGAGGGUGCAUGAUAGACAGUUUAUCUGUCAUAUAUGUCAUUAAUUUAAUUUAUAACAGAAUAUUUGUCGUCAUGAAUUAACGAUGGUAUUCUACAGUCAUAUAUCCGUCACACGAUAUUUUAAUGUGAAAAAAUAAUUAAAUUUAAAUUUGAAUUUAUUUAGAUUUUCGUGCCAAAUUUUUAAAAUUUGGCGGGAAAUUUUAUUGUCAUUGAUAAAUUUAUUAUUCAGUUUUGGCGGAAAAUUAUAUAAUCAUUUGUAAAUUUAUUAUUCCUUUUUUUGCGGGAAAUUAUAUAAUCAUUUGUAAAUUUAUUAAAAGGGGUUCUAAAAUACGAUUGACUUUAAGAUACGAAUACUUGGAGUCUAAGAUAUUAAUAGUUGGUUUACUUUCUGUAAAAAAGACAUGUAUAUGGGAUAUUAGAUAUUGCUAGUUAUAUAUGAACUAAAGAUAUAUCUAAUCCACCCUACUCUUGUGAUUAUUGUGAAUUUCGAUAGGGAUUCUAAUAGAAAUUUAGAAAUUGUUCGAUUUCGUCUUUGCUGCUGUACCGGACUUUAUGAUGUGUAUUUCCCGUCAUAAAGUUAAAUUUUAUAAAAAAAACUUACAAUUAUAAUUUAUUUUUUAAUUCAUGUUUACAAAUUUAAUUAAUUAGUAAAAAUGAGUAUCAUGAAAAAAAUAAAAACAAUUAAUAUUAAUUAACAUUCAUUCAUUACAACAAGUUAAUUUCAAAAUAAAUACAUCUAGUAUCUAAAAUUGUCAUCACAACCAAUACAUAUAUAAUCAACAUCCCAAAUUUAAAAAAAAAUCAUCUAAUUAAACUACAAGAAAAGCAACUCAAAUUCCAGCCACCAAGCCAACAAAACCUCCAGCAGCAAUACAUCUUCUAACGGCAAUAGUCCAAUACCCACUUACCCAACAACACUCCAACACACAUUCAUCAGCAACCUAGCAUCUUUCUACACCACUGGUAUUCCAACCACAUAUCCAGUAACCUAGCAAACCAAUCUAUUAAGAACCAAUCAAAAUACCCAAUGUUAUCGAAUGCAAAACAUGUAGACUACAAUCGUUAACAGCAACCAUUAUAAUUUGACACUAUAACUUUAAUUUCAAUAAUUUUUUACAAUUAAUAUUUAUAGUUUCAUACUCAUACUAACCAUUUUGCUGAUGCAACAAGGAUGUCAGAAAAAUGGUUAGCCCACUCCAAACGAACCUCAUCUAAUUCGUCCUGAGUGCAUACUUUCUUUCCAUUAAACUGUCAAUCACAAGAUUAUUAAGAGGUCAAACUUCAAAAAUAAUGUCACGUAUAUAGAAUAAAAGAAAGUUAAGAAAUGUCAUCAUCAACUUACAUUGUUCAUUAACAAACUAACAUCUGCUAUUAUUUCCUUCAUGUACCUUAACACAUAAUAGCCACACUCCAAUUUUGCAAUAUUUUGUUUCGGAGCCUGUUCAUGCCCAAAAAAAAAAAAAAAAACUUACAAAAUCUCAUCUAUUUUAGUUAUGUAAUCGACAGGCACAUAUAGUUUCUGUAGGGUUACUUUUUUUUACCUUCACGAUUCUCAUCUUAGAAUUAUAAUUCUAUUUUUCCUUACUAUCCUCUACUGUGAAGAGUGUCAUGGUGCUGUAAAAAAAAAAAAAGUAAACUGUUAUCUCUUAAUUAUAUUGAAAAAAUUUAAAAUAUCAAUUGCAUGAAAUGGAUUGGCAUACAUAUAUUUUAAGAAGCUGUUCUAAAUCAGUAUCAGGACUGGACUGCACAAGAUCCACAUAAAACACUUCCUUUUUCACCACGCCAAACACAACUAAAACCCAAUGGUAGCUAAUAAGAGAAGGCAGUUGGAAAAAAAGCAGAAAACAAAACCAUGAAUUAACAAACAAUUGUAAAAGUAAUAUAAAUUUAGAAACAACUGUAAAAGUUUUAAAUGAAAAUUAAAACUUACGAAUGAUUGUAUGGCAUGAGAAUGAGUUGUUUGUUUUUUGCUUUUUUCAAGUGGUCGUGAAUAUGCUCAACUCUCUUUUAGCGAAAUUUUUCUGGAGCCUUUGGAUUUGUUGGGCAAACCAAACUUGAACACAUGAAUCCAAUUGGUUUUAUUCAUUUUCUAGUUGGUAGAAUGGUGGAAUCCAACAUCCUGAAUAGAAAAUCAGUGCUUCAAUAAAAAAAUAUACAGAGUUGAUAUAAAAUAGUGUAAAGAAAAUUCAUUAAACUACUUAAGUCAUAUAUACUUGAAUAGUAUUUACUCCUAAUGAUUGCAUUGACAAUAGUUCAUUGCAAUCUUUCUUCUCAAUAUAAGCACAAGCAUGUCUUUGGAAUACAUUAUCAUCAAUCAUAUAUGUCAGAACACCAUCAUUUUCAUCAGGCAGGUAUUUCUCACACAAUUUCCCAAAUAGUUGCAGCAUAGGAUGACUGUUCUGGUGCUUGAAUACUGCACUCCUUGUGUUCCUCAUAGGCUGCACUACAACUUUUUUGGCUUUAUCCUUUUUCAAAAGUGGCUUUUUUGUUGGGCUGUCAGAAUGCAUCUCCUGUAUACCUUCAGCUAUGCCAUCAACACAGUCAAAAUCUAAUUGCUUUUUAUUGCUUCCAACUAUUUUCCUCUCAUCAUUUGCAUAAUCCUUUGAAAUUGAAGGAUUGAGUCUUGGACUUUUCCUCAAAAUGGCAGCAGUAGUGUUUUUUGGUGGCUUGCCCAAAUUAUCUAGCUCCUGUGGAUGUUGAUGAUAUCAAAUUGUAAGUAAAUAUAAGUUUUAUUCACUCCUAAGAAUAAUUCAAGCAUUAACACCAACAAAGUUUUUUAAAAAUGGGCCACACAUAUUUCAUUAGGUGAUUUGUAAUUCCAUUUUUAAAAUUAAUUCUAACAAGACGCGCGCACACACACACACACACACAUAUAGUAUGCAGCAAUAUAUAUAAAUAUGUUGUGGCUGUAAAGCCAGCUUGUGCAACUCGGCCCCUGUUUUAAACAUUGUACUUGAGUACUUGACUUAUAUAGUUAUAUUAAUUAAAACAAUUAGCCAACAAAAAAAAGAAAUCCCACAUACAAAGACAAAAACAACUUAAAUAUAGUUAAUUUUAUUAACUAACCUUAUGUGCAUCUCCUUCACUCCCUUCAUUUUUUGUUGACUGCACCGGAAAGGCAACAGCGGCAUUUGCUGGUGGCUUGCCCAAAUUAUCUACCUCCUAUGAAGAUUAAUUAUAUGAAAUAGUAAGUAUAUUAAACUAGAUUGAAUAGUAAAUAUACAAGGCAAUAAAUCAUAAUCUAGGAAAAAUACAGCCAUUUAUUAUGAAUAAACUAACCUUAUGUGCAUCUCUUUCGCUAUUAUUUUCACUGUCAUAAUUUUUGGCUGACUUUAUUGGAAUGGUAGCAGUUGUGUUUUUUGGUAUCUCUUCUUUCUUCCGAACUUCUUCCUUCUUUCUUAGUGUUGAUACUUUAGGAUGUUUGUCCCUUUGACCAAAAUCCAUUUCCUCUUCUUCACAGCUGACUUCCCUAAAUUAUCCAGCUUCUAUCAGCAUUAUCGACAAAUAGUAAAUAAAUUAAACUCUAAUGAGUGGAAGAUAUACAAGGAAAAAUACUUAAACUAGGAAAAAUUUGGUUAACACAGAUAACUAAAGCACCUUAUGUACAUCUCAUUCACUGUCAUCAUCGACCAUAUUAUGUGGGAAAGUAGAACUUCCAACAUCUAACACAGAUAACUAAACCAUAUUACUGGUUUUUUCCAAGCAUCCAACUCCCUCUCUCACUCAUUUUGGAUGGGUCCACACAGGCAGUAAAAGUACAUAGAAGUAUAAAUAAAUUUGCCCACGCCUUGCAUAUGACUAGUUCGAGGAAGCUUUCCCAAUGCUUGUGCAAGUAAGUCAUUUCUUGCAUCUGAAUUGAAGGAGUCUUUUUUGUCCUCCUUCUCUAGCAUUUCUUAAUAGCCCACCAUAAAGAAACUAAUAUUAUUAAAUGGGUAUAGAUCUAAUAUCAUAACAAUGUUUGUUCUAGUUAAACUUGAUUACUAUUUUCUUAAUAACAUGUUCGGUUUCAAUGUCGUUUCCUCCAUUCUUUAGCAUCCGAGCUCACUUCCAUAAAUCACUCCUUUCAAUUAAGUCUUCAGAAAGACCUAAUUCUGCACACUACUUCGAUAAACAAAUUAGAUUAGUCAACUGUUAAAAAAUUUAAUAGUGAACUAAACCUUUAAUAAAUAUUAAUUAAUUAUCCACCAACCACCUGUUUUUUCUACAUUUUUCAAAAAUAUACAAAUCUUUUUUUUUGCAGCGCUCCAUCUGAAGUUAACAUUUUUUUCAUUAGUCCACUCCCUAUAACACUGUUAGAACUUUGCUAACAUCAUAAAGGUAAAAUUGUCAUUUCAUAACGACACAAAAGUGGACAGGUGCAAAACAAUAUAACUUCAAGUGGAGUUCAGCAAAAAAAAAAAAAAAAAAAGAAUUGUGUAUUUUUGAAAAAAUGUGAAAAAAAUGUGGUCGGUGGAUAAUUUACCUUUUACAUGUAAGGGUAAAAACAUCAUUUAUACAAUAUUCCAUUUGUUCUCUUAACAAUUUGAAGACGAAAGUGGAUAGGUGCAAAAUAAUGUAACUUCAGGUGGAAUUCAGUCCAAAAAAAAGAAUUGUUUAUUUUUGAAAAAGCCUGAAAAAACAUGUGGUCGGUGGAUAAUUUCCCAUAAAUAUUUAACAAAGCAAAAAAUUUACAUAGUUAACUAAUAUAUAAAUUAUUUCAUUAGCAAUUAAAUAUUUAACACACUUAAAAUUUCUUUUAUUAAUCAAAUAUAUCUUUUUCGACUAAGGCGGUGAUUGCACUUGUUCAAGGCUCUCCUGUUCUUAUUGACACGACUGAUUUUUUGCAUAAUUAGAUUUGUUAUAACACAAGGUAAAUAUAAUGUAACUGCUAACAUAUUACUUGUCCUAACUUGAAAAUACUUUAAAAGAUUCCGACAAACGUUGGUCGACAAACUUUAUCCAAAUAGGACGUUUUAUUUGAUGGUACUCAAUUCGGGGUGAAUACAAUUUCUUUUUAUCAUUUCUAAACUUCCAGAUAUAAAUUUUGGCCAGCAUAUACUUGAAGUCCGAAAUGUUGUUCUAAUUGAUUGUAUCACCUGCUUCCUACUUCUAGGAUGAACAAUGAAAUGACCCUAGAUAAGAGGAAGAUUGUUUAUGUGAUAGUUAAUAAAAAUCCAAAUCAUAUAACUAAUAAUUGAAAAAUGACAGCAAAAUGUUUAAAUAGAAUGAGAUGGAUUUUUAAGAUUACCAGAACAAAUUUCCACAAACGCUCCUUUGUCUCCAGCGGAACCUUAUGCCAGUCGGAAUAAAGAAUUGAAACUGAUGUACGAGCUAAUACCCUAAUAAAAGAAGCCAACUCAGUGGCUUUAUCGCCUGCUAGAACGCCCAUUUCAUUGUAUUGUACCACAAUCUUUUCCUUCUUCGUUUUAAGUUUUUAUUUUGCCUAGAUCCCAUAUUUACACCUCUCCUAGAGUUACUGCUUUCAGGAAUAUCAACAUCAGGACGAACGAAAUUAACACCAUCCAUUUCAGCACAAUCAAAAUCACCUCUAUCUAAAUCAGCACCAUCAUUAUCACCUCCAUCAAACUCAACACCAUCCAUCUCAGCACCAUCAAUAUCAUCCUCGUCUUCUGGAUAUGCUAAAUUAGCAUUAUCGGCAAAUAAGUCGCGGUAAUCGUCUUCCAAAUAAGCUUCCUAAUUAGAAGCAACAUCAACCACUACAUGUUUUCCCUUAGCCAUAUUAGUGCACCUGAAAUAAAUUACUGUACUUGAAAUAAGUAAAUUAAAUUGUAUUAGUUAAAUGAAAAUAUGAAACUAUAUAACAAUCAAUCAGCUGCAAGAAUAAAAAGCUAAUAUAUAAUUCAUUAUCAUAUUAGUUUGUAACAUAGAUAGUGAAUAGUUAAAUAAACACUUACUGCAAAAAAGUUAAUCAAUUGGCAACCCAAAUUCCCUCUUUGCUAUUUCGUGCAUAGAUUGCUUAAUCGCCAUUUGCGGAACAUAAUAAAUCAUUAGUUGGAAAUUCCUUGGUGAAGGGAGGAUAUUCUGUUACAUUAUUGACCUUGUCUUCAUUUAUUUGAUUAAGAUUACUUAUAAUAGGCAUAUGACAUACAAUAGACCACUUUGUUUGAAUUUGAUCAUUUACAUAAAAUACUUGUUUGGCUUGAGAAGCCAAUAUAAAUGGAUUAGAUUUAUAUCCUAAUCGGUUUAAGUCUACUAAGAUGAAUCCAAGCUCAUCAUUUUUAACACAACUACUUUGAACCCAAUCACACUUCAACAUAGGGACUUUCAACGAAUGAUAGUCAAUCAUCCAAAUUUUAUCUAUAACUCCAUAAUAUGUCAUAUCACAUAUUUCAGAAUCAUCUACACUACCUCCAUUAUUUUGAGUUACUCGAUUUGAGUCUUGAUCUCGUGAAACAAAAUAGAAACCAUUAAUGUCAUAACCAUUAUGUUUAGUUACAAAAGGAAGAGGCCCAUGUGAUAACCAUCGCAAAGUAUCUGAUACGUGAUCACCCUUUUCAAUCAAGUCAUAUACCUAACAAGAUAAGAAAGAAAAGUAAACAUCUUUACUAAGUGAAAAAAAGUUUAGAUUUCUUUGUGAAAAUUAAUUAUAUACAUGCUAGAACCUUAUCAAUUAGUCAAUCGGUAAAUGUAUGGUUGUGUUCUUCUUGUAACCAUUUGUCAUUUUGAUGUGAAUAACAUGUUUUAAGCCACUGCAUAUGGUUACUAAACAUCCAGAACAUGAAAAAAUUAGACUGAAAAUUAUAGAAAUAAAUUAUAUAGAUUUGACUAGAAGAAAUUAACCAAAUUACCUAAUGUAUAGUAACACCUCUUGCGUGUUAUGCAAGAUGUACAGGUGCGCUUGAUUUAGUGAAUGUGGAGGAAUUUGUAGCACUUUCCCACCAGACAAUGACUUAUCUUUUGAUAGUUUUUGCACAUGUCCAAGUCGAACCCCAACUAUAUUCAUGUUUGACAUGUAUUCUACACAAAAUUCUAAUGCUUCUUCCGCAAUAUAACUCUCUGCUAUUCAACCCUCAGGACAGUUGUGGUUCCGAACAUAACUCUUAAGAGUUUUCAUGUAUCUCUUGAAAGGAUACAUACAUUGAAGGUAAACUGGGCCACAUAGUCUAACUUCAUUGACUAAAUGCACAGUCAAGUGUACCAUAAUGUCAAAGAAAUAGGGAGGAAAAUAUUUUUUUAACAAGCACAAAGUAACUACAUGCUCUGCCUGUAAUUUAUCCAAUGUUGACACAUCAACCACAUUGGAACACAAGAAGUUAAAAAAGAAACAUAGCCUGAUCACAACUUCUUUAACAUGCUUUGGCAAGACACACUGAAUGACAAUAGGCAAAAGUUAAUGUAUAAGAACAUGGCAGUCAUGUGACUUAAGGCCCUGAAGUUUAAGGUCCUUCAUUGACACAAGAUUUUUUAUGUUUGAGGAAUAUCUAGCUGGAACCCUAUACAUUUUAAAGCUUUGCAGAACCUUAUUCUUUCAUUUCUAGUUAAUGUAUAACAAGCUGCAGGAAGGAAUGUUUGUUUGUUCUUUCUUAAAGUUGGUGCUAAUUCAUCUCUAAUUCCCAUUUCCACAAGAUCAUUCCUUGACUUAAGACCAUCUUUGGUCUUUCCUGGAAUAUGCAGCAAUGUUCCAUAGAUGUUCUCAUACACAUUCUUUUCAAUGUGCAUAACAUCUAAUUAAUGACGUAUAAGUAAAUGCUUCCAAUACUCUAAAUUAUAAAAUAUUGAUUUUCUUCCACCAAAUGCGGUCAUUAUUGUCAAAAAUUUUGUGUUUUUUAGAGUUGUUCUUCCCCCAUUUAUAAUCAAUAGACUCAACCAGCCGCAAAACACUUCCCCAUCCAACGGUUUCAGAGCAAACUCUCUCUCUAUUGUGUUAUCAAAGGCUUUUCUUGGUCCUGAAAUUCAUGACCAUGAGGAAGCCAAUGACGGUGAUUGAUAUAUGUAUUUUUGCCACUGUGUUUAAGUCUAUAUUUAGUAGUGUCUACUCCACAAUAUGGGCAAGCAUUAUAUCCUUUAACAAUGCAACCAACUAGAUUUCCGUAUGCCAGAAAGUCAUUUAUAGUCCAUAAUAACACAACCUGCAAAUUAAAGAACUCUUUUCUGUAGGCAUCAUAAGCCUCCACCCUAACUUCUCACAAAGUUUGUAAAUCUUCUAUCAAAGGUGCCAAGUACACAUUGAUGUUGUUGCCCAGUUGUUGAGGACCAGAAAUCAGUAGGACAACAUCAUGAAUUUCCGUUUCAAACACAACCAUAGAGGAAGAUUAUACGUUAUAAGAAUAAUUGGCCAACUAUACAUACUACUAAGAGAGCUAUGUGGAUUUAUUGUAUCAGUUGCUAACACAAGACGGAGAUUUCUACGAUCUACGACAAAUGUAGGCCAUUUGUUAUCUACUAAUUUCUAUGAUGGCGAGUCUGCUGGAUGUCAAAGCUUACUAUCAUCGACUCUCUCAUUUGCAUGCCAAGUCAAGUCCUUGGCCAUUUUUUAGGACUAAAACAUGCGUUUAAAUCUAUGUAUGGGCGGACAAUACCCUAAAACCUUGGCAAGAACCCAUUUCCUAUAUUGGUCAACACUGCCAUCUUUUUUUUUCCAUCUAGAUAAACCACAACUAGGACAGUCAGAAGCCCUUUAUACUAUUUUCUGUAAAGUAUGCAAUCAUUUGGGCAAGCAUGUAUUUUCACAUAUUUUAAGCUUAAAGCGGACAUUGGCUUUCUGGCCUCAUACAUAGACACAAGAAUUUCAUUACUUUCAGGCAACAUCUUGGCUAGAAGGCCUAAUAACUCGGUAAAACUUGUGUCGAACCACCCAAAUUUACCCUUUAUAUUGAACAAGCUAACCAAAGUGCCUAACUUAGUAAAAUUUGUGCAUCCUGGGUACAAAGGCUUCUCAGCCUGUUCUAGAAGUUCUUUAAAUGCUUUAGGAUCUGCAACAUAAUCCCUAUAAGCAUCGUUAACCAUAUCUACUGUGUUACUGUCAUUGUAAUCUAUAAACUCAAAUGGAACAUUUACAUCUACAUUAGGAAGUGGUGUGUCCUUGACAUCUUCCCCAUGCCAACUCCAGGUUGUGUAAGAAACAUCAAAACCAUGAAAAUACAAAUGUUCACGAACAACCUUAUGUGUAUGAAAGGAUAAAUUCAUACAUUUAGUACAUGAACAUUUAAUGACGCUACUGCCUUCGGAAUUACCAAUAGCAAACUUCAUAAAUUCUUCAAUCACAUCUUCAUACUCACUUGACAAUUUAGUACAAUGAACCCAAGACUUAUCCAUCUUUAGUUUCAAUUAGUUUUGAUCCUGACACAUUAAGGAGGUUACAAAUAAAUAAAACAUCAAAAUACAUUACUAAUUUAUAUAAGCAAAGUACAAAUUAACACCACUUUAAAUACCUUUACUACAACAUAAACAUAACAACAAAUUUUACCCCCACACAUUAUAAUAGUCACAACACAAAAUACAAGUACUUAAACACAUUACAGUAGUCAAAAUCAUUACAAUAGUAAAUAAACACAACCUUAAAAUCAAGCCCAAUACAACUUCAAGUCAUGCUAUCAUAUAAAGGACCAUAAUAUUAAAAAUAUUUCAUACAACUAUAAAUUAACUAACGAAUUCAAAACUCUAAAAUAAAGAAGUGUAAUUUAUUUACUAGGUUAAAUUAAUUCCUCUACAGCAAACUAUUCCAACAAAAGAGAUGCAACAAACUGUGCAACAAGAGAGGUGGCAACAAGCUAUUCCAAGAAAAACAAAGGAUCAACUAUUACAUAAGGGAAGAUACUCUUUUUCAACAAAUUAAAAUACAAUUUUGCAUCAGAAGCUAAAUUAGGUUCUAGGUAUAAAUUUGUUGCAAAACUAGUACUACAACUUUAUCAUUUCUUAAUAACCGCAGAUUUCAAUAAAAAAUUAACCCUAGAUAUGCAAAAGUACAAAUUAACACCACUUUAAAUACCCUUACUGCAACAUAAACAUAACAAAAACUUUCAACCCCACACAUUAUAGCAGUCACAACACAUAAUGUAAGUAAAUAGACACAUUACAAUAGCCACAACAUAACAUAAAAAUCAAGCCCCAUACAACUUCAAGUCAUGCUAUCAUAUAAAGGACCAUAAUAUUAAAAAUAUUUCAUACAACUAUAAAUUAACUAACGAAUUCAAAACUCUAAAAUAAAGAAGUGUAAUUUAUUUACUAGGUUAAAUUAAUUCCUCUACAGCAAACUAUUCCAACAAAAGAGAUGCAACAAACUGUGCAACAAGAGAGGUGGCAACAAGCUAUUCCAAGAAAAACAAAGGAUCAACUAUUACAUAAGGGAAGAUACUCUUUUUCAACAAAUUAAAAUACAAUUUUGCAUCAGAAGCUAAAUUAGGUUCUAGGUAUAAAUUUGUUGCAAAACUAGUACUACAACUUUAUCAUUUCUUAAUAACCGCAGAUUUCAAUAAAAAAUUAACCCUAGAUAUGCAAAAGUACAAAUUAACACCACUUUAAAUACCCUUACUGCAACAUAAACAUAACAAAAACUUUCAACCCCACACAUUAUAGCAGUCACAACACAUAAUGUAAGUAAAUAGACACAUUACAAUAGCCACAACAUAACAUAAAAAUCAAGCCCCAUACAACUUCAAGUCAUGCUAUCAUAUAAAGGACCAUAAUAUUAAAGUAAUUGCUACCGUGCAACCAUUAAUUAACUAACGAACUCAAAACUCUAAAAAUAAAGAAGUGCAAUUUAUUUACCAAAUAAAAUUAAUUCCUCUAUAGCAAAUUGUUCCAGCAAAAAAAAUGCAGCAAACUCUGCAACAAAAGAGGUGGCAGCAAGCUGCUCCAACCAAAACCACAUAAUCAACUAUUACAUAAGGAAAGAUACCCUUUUCAAUAAAUUAAAAUACAAUUUUGCAUCAUAAGCUAAAUUUGGUUCUAAUUAGGUUCUAAGUAUAAAUUUGUUGCAAAAAAAGUACUGCUACUUCACUCAUUUCCUAAUAACCCUAAACUUUAAUGAAAGAUUAACCCUAGAUAUGCAAAUUUACCACAAUAGGCAAAUUAUUUGGCUCUUGGUCUUGCUACUAGUAGUACUACUGCUGCAAAAUAAUUAUCCCUUUUUCUCUAAUCCUUCAUCUCCAAAAUCUAAUUCACUCCUGCUACUGCUGCUAUUGCUUCUGCUACUGCUAACCCUAACAACUUACAUUCUUUGCUCUCUUUCAACAAAUUAACUAAUCAAUUUUUUAAUUAGGUUUUCUCGUUAGAUUAUUUAUAGAAUUAAUUGAUUUAACUUAGAUUUGUGCAAAAUAAACAGCAUGCAAAAUGAAGACAUAAUAGAAAUCAUACCAAGGGCUUUGAAAAAAUGAAGGUAAGGAGAAUAGCAAGAUGAGGACAGAAAACGAUGGCGAGGAACACAAUAGCUAAGAAGACGAUGGCGAUACCAGGAAAUGCACCUUCACUCACUCAAUUUCACAAUGCAAUCGGUAACCAAUACGUUAGGAAGACGAUGGCAAGAUGACGACAACCGAGAUUUUGGUAAGAUGAUGGCGAAAAGGAAGAAAAUAUAAGAGAUUAAGAGAAGUUAGAAUCGAGGAUUUUAGCCUUAGCUUAUACUCUCUGUAUGUUUGUGAGUUGUAUGUGUUGAUACUUAGAAAAAAUUAGGGAUUGAAUAAGUGAAACUCAGCACCAAAACGGUGCGUUUCAAUUUUUAAAUUUUAUUUUAUAAUAAAAAAUUUUAAAAUUUUAUAUUUAUGUACAAAAUGUUGUCAUUCCAACUCCGCUAAAACAAUGACAUGUCUUCAUUCGUGUAAUAUUUUAUUUUAAAUAAUACCAAAAGUGUGGGUCAAAAACGCGCCAAAUUAAGUCAACGUGAAAAUUCUAUCAUGAAUUAUUGACGUUUAAAUUUAUAUCACAAAGACAUCAUAUAUUCUUGACAUAAUCUUUUUCUAUCACGAGUUCAUUACGAAUCAGUCAUGAAUAUAUGAUAGCCAAAAAUAUAUCACAACUAUAUCAUGCUUUUAUGACCCACUCAGAAUCCGUCAAAAAAGUGUCUGUCAUCUAUUGUCAGUUUUCUUGUAGUGAGUUUAUUGUUUUCAACAAUAUCAUAUAUGUGUCCAGUAAUAUGAGAAUACCUUUUUAUUCUAUUUUGGCUUGAUUGACAUCAAGAUAAAUAAUCUCACUUAAUUAACUUAUGUAGUAAACAAACAUUAUUAUAGACAAGGAAAAAAAAGUACAUAAAUAUCCUAAAAUGAAUAUAGAAUUUAUGGUUAAACCAAUUCAAUAAAACUUAUUUCAUUUCAUUUCAUUUCUUUUCAUUUCUUUUGUUUAUUCAAUUAAAAUAAAUGAAUAAAUUGUUUUUCACUAAAAUUUUAUAGAAAUCAUAUUAAUUUUUUUUAACAAUUAAUAGCCUUAUAUUAAUUUAUUUACUUUACCUUCCAUUUAUAAAUCUUAUAUGUGAUUUAUUAAAUUUAUAUUAAUUAUGGCAUUAAUUUCGUAAUUUUAAUGGCAUUACGAAAUGUUCCUUAUUUUAGUUAUAUAACGAAAUGUAAUUUGGACCAUUUCAUACAAGACUAUCGGAUUUAAUUUUACGCGCUUAAAUUUAGUUUGAGUAUGACCGUUGACAGGGCUUAUUAUUAUAUUAUAUUUUCCCUGACAAUUUCACUAAAAUAGUCAACUACAAAAUAGGACUGCAGUACCACGUGUUGGCUUACAUCACUUUUUGUAAUUAAUUUUGUUUAUUAGCCGGGAAAUUUCAUUGAAACUCAAUUGUUACGAAAAGAUUGACCAAGUUUUAUCGUAGGUAGCAAUUUGGUUCAGGAUUCGUUGAUUCAAUUUGAUUCGAUACAAAUAAAAUGAGUUUGGGUUUGAAAAAAUUGAUUAAUUUAAUAAAUUAGUGAAUUCAAUUUGAUUCGCUAAUUAAACGGAUCGAAUCCGAAUUUGAGACAUUGAUUCAUUUAUGAUUUGCUUAAUAAAUGAGUUAUAAACUAAUCAAAUAUAAUCUAUUUGUUCAAUUAAAUUGCUUAUUUAUCGUUAAAUAUGUAUGAAAAAAUUUUAAAGUUUGAAGGCUAAAUAGCAUCUAUAAAUGAUAAUAAAUUUUAAAUUUGUGGUCUUUUAUAAUUAUUUUGCUUAAUUUUUGUUUAUUAAUUAUAUUUUUGUAAAUGAAUUUAUAUUCAAUUUGAUUCGUUAUGGAUUCAUUAUAAGAUAAACAAAUAGUAAAUGAUUCUAGAUUUGAUUUGCUUCGUUUAUUAAUUCUACUAAAUGAAUUAAACGAAUCGAACUAAAUAUCGUUUAAUUCGAUUCAUUUAAUAAAUAAAUCAAAUCUAAAUAUUGAGAUUUUAAUUCGUUUAAUAAAUGAAUCAAUUUCAAUCAACAGAAUUUUAUUCCAAUUCAUUUAUGAUUCUAUUCGAAUUCGAUUCAUUUAUUGGUUUUGUCACCUACUUUUAAGGGAAAACUUACACAAAGAUGAUUAGGUGCACAUAAUUCAAAUAAAAAAAAUUAUAAAUUAAAAUGAACUGAUGUCAAAUAAGAGAAUAAGAAAUAAAAGAAAGUUGACCUAAGAAAAAAAAACACAUGUUUUUUAGUUUUCCAACCAGUUUUAAUUGGCCGGCUAGGGCUAGUCGAAAUUUUUAAGAAAUCAACUUAGAUUUUGUUUACUCUUUACCUAUAAAAAAAGAAAUGCAGCCAUGUCUGUUUAGUGUAUGGAGAUAGGGAUGGCAAAAAUCCCCACAGGGACGGGUACCCUCGGGGGUUUUUUCCAUUCAGGGAGGGUAUAGAGAUAAUUUCAUACCCAAUUUCUUAUUCGGGGAAGGGACGAGGAAAUUUUUUUACCUAAUUUCUUAUUCGGGGAGGGGAUGGGGAUGAGGUGGAAUCCCCAUCCCCUACCCAUUUCCCCAUUUUAAUUUUUAAUUUUAUUUUUAUUUUUAUUUUUUAAAAAUUAAUAGUAAAUAAAUAAUAAAAUUUGAAUUAUAAAAUUAUAAAUAUUGGUAAAAAUAAAAAAUAUCAAAAUAUUUAUAUUAUUAAUUUUUAGGCUUAAUUAACUAAUUAAAGUCCUAAAUUUUUAUUUAGGACAUUAAAAAGACCGGGUAGAUUUUAUUAGCCCAAAAAUUUUGUUUUAAUUUUAAUAUUCAUUAAAUAUUUUAAACUUAAAUCUAUUUUUUAUUUAUUUUUAGAUGUUAUAAUUACCCACAACGAAUCACAAUUUUAAUAUUUAAUCUAAUCUAAUAUUUGCUCUUGAUUUGCUCUGACUUAACUAUUGUGUUAUAAAGGGAAUAGUCCACAUUUAUAAAGUACCCACGCCACCAUUGAAAAAGUUAAUUUUGAAUCUAAAUUCAAUUUUAUUUGUAACAAUUUUGUAUUAGACUAUUAAUUUGUCCAUGAUAGUUUACAAAAGAAGUUUGUAUCCCUUGCAUGCUAAGUUACUUACUAAUUUAAUGCAUGUGACUUUUGUAAUGGAUAUUAAUGUAAGAUAUAUUUCUAAUUUUACUUUUAUUUGAAUAUGAUUAACUCAAAAUCAAAAACAAAAAAAUGUAUUAGUUAUUCGGGGAUCGAGGACUCUCAGAGAUCCCAUGUUAUUAUUCGGGGAGGGGAUGAAAAUUCUUUCAAGUAAUUAUGACGGGGAUGGAGAGGGGACGAGGACAUACACAAAAUAUCGAGAAUGGAUACGGAAAGAUUGGUCCCCUCCCCUCCCCACCCCAUUGCCAUCCCUACAUGGAGGUUACGAUAGCCACGUAUAGUUGGUUUUUAGUGUAGGCUCUCCUGUGAAACGUUUCCCAAGGUGGCUUCUAAUAAGCUAGAAUGAAGUUUAUAAAUAGUUGUUCUUGGUUAUUCGAUUCUAAAGAACAAUAUAUAUAAGUUUCAAUCUUUGUAUUUCUUAAUGAGUCAAAAUCCUAUUUAUACAAAAUACUCAUUAACAUAAAAGAAAAAUAAUCAACACGAAUAAAUGAGGCUCAUCUCCCCAAAUAUACAUAAUAACGUGCGAGUCAUGCACAAUAGUUUUCAUUCUUGCCCACCAUGCAUCAUAUAAUUUUCUUCUUCUCCAUGUAAUUAGCACCUUAUUAGCGUAGUUAAUUUUCCACAUUUAGUUGAUUGCCAGUUGGUGCGUCAUUUUCAUAGGCAUUACUGUUGCAGUAAUUAUUAGAAAGAAAGGAAAAGAAAACUCCUUUGACGUGACAUAUGAAGUUUCGUCUUUCAAUUUCUUGCAUAUUUAAUAAUUUAAAUGACGUGGGAUCACUUUGGUACUCUGCUGUAUAUACGACAACAUGUCCAUUAAUCAUGCAGAAGCAUAGCUGGCCUUGAUGUAAGUGUUUUUUAGUUGAGAUAAUAAAAUUUGUGUGUUAAAAACAAGAGGUUCUGGAAUCGAACUGUUGAUAUGGAUAGAGAGAAUUUAGUUACCAUUAUGUACCACGCAGGUCAAAAUCAAAUUAAGCAAAAGUAGGUGCAAUUUUAAAAUAUGAGGAAUUUACUCCUAGGAUCUCUCUGUUUGCCCUGUAUCUUUGGGCUUUGCUUUUAAUUAUACUGAUGACUUCGAAAGGUCUAUUUUAAUCAUAAAUCUAUCUUAAUUUAGAUACAAUUUCUAAAACAAGUAUUGAACACCACCUAGUUUAUAGCUAUAAGAAAACUUAACCAAAGAUUUUUUCCUUCCAAUUCAUUGGUGCAUAAUUUCUCUCAAGGUAACAACAAAGUGGUAUUGAAACUAUCUGACGAUUGUUUAUUUCAUAUGCCAAAACGUUAAGCUCAAAGCUUAACUUGGAGGAAAUCAUAGGCUUCUUCUUUAUGUGUUUUUAUCAAGUCUAUCUUCAAAGACAUUUAAAAGUUUGAAACAAGCCUCCAUUUUUUACAUAGAUAUUAGGAAAAAGGAUAGCUACAACCUGUUGGAGAAAAAUUUCACACAGCUAAUCAAGUUUUCAAUAAUAAAAAAAUUCAUACCUCCUUUAUAUCAUAAUACUUUUUGACUCUACUAAUUUAAAAAAAUUGACUUUAAUCAUUUAUAAAAAUAGAAAUAUAAUAUUAAAUUAAAUGUAAUAAUAUGUACAUUUUAAAAUAAUUUUACCCUUUAAAAAAUAUUUUAAUAUUUUACAAUCUAUUAGACAUAUUUUAUUACAUUAAAGUUAAUUUUAAAUAAAUAGAGACUUAGUAUUAAAAUAAUUAGUCAGUUUAAAUUAUUUAUAUUAUAUUAUUUGUAUUUAUUAAAAACUUUAAAGUUAUUUUUUUAUUUAUUAUAUUCUGAAAACUUUCUAAAGAAAAUAAAUCUUACUCUGAUUAAUUUAUGAGCACAAAGGCUUAAUUUAUACAAGUAUUUAAAAUAUGAAAAAUGAAAUGAUAUAAUUAACAUUAUUUGGGAAUAAUGAUUGAUUAGUAAAGAUUGAGUCAAUUAAUCUUUAUGUUAAUUUACAAACAAUCUUUCUUAAUCAAUAAAGAAGAUGGACGGUAUCAAUUAUUUGAUUGACCAUUAAUUGUUUUGUUUGCAUCAAUAUUGUUUAACUUUCCCCCUGACUUUCCACCCUUAACAACGUUGACAAUUUAGUAGUAAGAACUGAAUUGAUUGUAUAACUUCAUCUCUGGAAAGGUUAAUUUCAGAUUACUAUUCGUCGAAUGAUAAUUUUUAAAUGAUUGUAAAUCUCAAUUUAUCCCCCACUUUUUUUAAAAAGACAAAAAAAUUUCAUCAACACACCACAAUUUUUCCUUUAUCUUUUGAAUAAAAAUGAGAAUUAGUUGAAGUUUACAAUUGUUUGGAUGAUAUUAUGAAAAUUGUCAUUUUACGAAGAGGGUAACGUGAAAUUUACCCUUUCUAGAAUUAUUCUGAGUGAAAAGUUAUGUUAGUGUUUGUUCAGUUAAAUGGCGGUUGAUAAACAAAACGCUAGCUACCAGGCACCAGCAAUUUAAUAGUAUUAUAGCUGCCAUUUCAAAAUGACUAUAGUCCUAAAACCACAACACCACACAGUAUGAAACCGUGCCUUAGUAAUUAUAUGCUGAAUGUCUCAACAUUUAUGUUCAGAAAAAAGAAAGGAAAACAGAAUGAGCAGAAAAUAUACACACAACAUUCUAGCAUAAUUCUCUAAUCUGGUUAUUCCAAUAAUCGAUCAGAAUCCACACUGAAUGGAUGGAGGUCAACUCCAUCUGUAGAAGAACCUGAAGGCGGCCCAUAAAUUGACGACGUGCUUUGUGUAGUAAUUGCAGUGUUUUCUAUGCAGAAUUGGUAAUAUUUCCUCAUUGCUUCUGCCUUGGUUUCAUCGAUGUCUGAGACACUUGAAUCAGAGACUAAAUCUAGAACAUCAACACCGCAUUCGAGCAUGCGUAAAACCGAAGACAUCGAAGGCCUAAUCGUAGGAGAAGCGUUGGCACACAGCAGAGCUACAUUGAUCAUCACCAUCACUUGUUCUUUGUCAAAAUUUGAACCCAGAUUUGUAUCAACUAGCUCCAUUAAUUUUCCUUGCUCUUUUAAUACAAGCGCCUGAUUGAAAAGAAGUUGAAAAAACAUAUAUUUGUUCGGAGAUAAAUUCAAGAUAAAAAAUGCAAAUCAAUAAACUGUAGGAGCCUAAUAUUACCCAAUCUAGAAGAUAAAACAUAUCCUCUUUUGUAACGUUGCUUCUACCGCUGACAAUUUCUAAGGCAACAAUUCCGAAACUAUAGACAUCUGCUUUCUCUGUUAAAUGGCCCCGCAUUGCAUAUUCUGGUGCCAUAUAUCCACUGCAAGGUCAUGAAUUUGAAUAUUAAAUUGAUAUUGUAUGAGAAGAAAAAUUGAAAACAUUGAUGAGUAUGCAGCAACUCACAUUGUUCCGGCAACUCGGGUGCUUAUGUGGGUGUUUUCUUCUUCGUCAAGCUUGGCCAAACCAAAGUCGGAUAUUUUAGAGUUCAGGUCCUUGUCAAGAAGCACAUUAGUUGCUUUAAUGUCUCUAUGCACAACCUUUAUCCUUGAUUCUCCAUGCAGAUAAGCUAAACCUCUUGCUAUGCCGAGGCAAAUCCUGCGCCUUGUUGGCCAAUCCAACUUCAACCGAUGCUCUUUAGGACCUUCAAAUCAUUCAAGAAAGAAUAUAAAUAAUUAGAAUCUAAUACCACAUUUAUAUGUACGUAUGAUUUAUGUUGAACUAAUAAUUUAUAGUUGAAGUAUAUACCAAACAAAGCUCGAGCAAGGCUGUUGUUUUCCAAGUACUCAUAUAUAAGCAACAAUUGAUUUCCUUCAAUGCAACAUCCAUAAAGCUUUACAAGAUUAGGGUGUUGCAAAGCAGAAAUCAUGCCAAUCUCAUUAAUGAAUUCUCGAUUUCCUUGCUUUGAUUUGGAAGAAAGUUGCUUGACUGCAAUCGCUGUGCCAUCUGCCAACAGUCCCUGCAUUUUUAAGAAAUGCAGUCAGAUUUGUAAAAUGGAAAGGAAUUGUUUAUCGCGCAAAACACACCUUGUAAACAGGGCCAAAACCGCCUUCUCCAAUCUUGUUAUCAGUAGCAAAGUUGUUGGUGGCAGCUUUAAUUUCCUUAAAGGUAAAAGAAGCAGUAUGCAAGUCUACACCCCUCAGCUCUGUGGAAGAAAUUACUGGGUUAAUAAAAAUGAAACAUAAGCAUAACAAAAUGAUCUGUAAAAUGAAGAUAUCAUGAUUUGCAUAAUCUUUUAAAGACUUGAAUUAGAGAAUUAUUUAUUUGUAAGGAAUAUUCCGUUAAUUUAUCAGUACACUACCUCGUUCCAGUGUAUUUUGUGGUCGAAAACAGCCCUUCCACUGAAGGAUACCCACCACAACUAGGAUUAUCAAAAUUGCUGCAGCCACUGCGAUUCCAAACGCGGUGCCUACUGAUAUACUAUUGCUUCCAUUUUCUGACGGGGGUAUGAAAUCUGCUUCACACAGGAAGUUACACGUAUCUCCAAUGUGAGGGUUAUCUACUUGAAAAUAACUUAAAUACAAGGAAUUCCUGUAGAAAUAACCUUUGGGAAUUUGUAAAAUCUAAGGCACUUACGAAAUGGGAAAGUAUCAAAUUGGAUGAGAGAAGCCUUGGGUUAGUAUUAAACCUACCUGGAUUGUAAAGAGAAAUAGCUGAUAUGAGAGGACCAUAAACUCCUUUAACAGGAAUUUCAGUUGUCCCUUUCCCAGCCCAAUAGAGACGGAUCUCCAUGGUCCCGUUGGUCACGGCCGCCGAAAAUUGUUUUACAAUUGCUUUACCAACGCCGCCAGCUUCAUUCUCAAUGUUGAAAUCCUUCAGCACACGCUUCCCCUGGAACCAUAUUUCCAAUUAACUUAAAUUUCUAUGCAAGUUAAAGUAAAAUCCAAGAUGGAGAAUAUCUAUUACAUUCGUUUUUUUUAAAGAAGUUUUUGUGAAAUCCAAAAGCGAAUCCAUGAGAGUAAUUAUGUGUGCAUUGCUGAAUCCCAACUGAAAAAGCUUGUUGUGUAACAGCUUUCUGAAUCCCACGGAAAUUAAAAUCUACAUAAGGCUGAACUGGAAAAGAUUUGCUAGCUCAAUAUUCAAGAAAAGAUGUAAUAUCAACCGUGAUUAAUUGGGGGUGGUGAGGUAGUAUUAAGCAUUAGUCACCUGAAUGUAAACAUCAAAUAUGCGCUUUCCAAAACUGCUAAAAUUUUUGUCAUCAGUGAACAGUAUCUCUGCAAAGUGAAGAUUGACUGUGUAUUUUCCAUUCCCCAGACAGAAUCCGUAGUAAGUUAGAGAUAUGGCAGAAAGCCGGGCCGUUGUGUAUAAUUGAUAAUCGUUCAUCAAAAGUCUAGACGUGUUUGUCUGAAUAUAAGGGCCGAGUUUGAGACCAUUUUCCAAGAAGUGACCAGUGCUGCUAAGCACCCAAUUUGUUCCACUCUGGCUAAAUGUUGAAGGCCCUGCCUCAGACGUAUCCUCUUCAAAUGUCGUAUUUCCAUUGGCAGUCACUUGUUUCCCACCACAGUUUAUAUGGAGAGAGUAGUAAGCUAGAACAAAAAGAACAGUGAGCAUCCAGUGUACAAGUAAAAACUUUUAAAAGCCAAGUAACCAAUGAAUUUUAGCAGCAGAUGAGUUAGCGUAGCGUUGUUGUCCAAGGUAGUCAAAGUUUUGGGUUUAAAGGAAUUGCUUCAAAUUGGAAGCCAACAUAAAAAAAAAUGUGACAAACAUUUAGUAUGCUAAGCAAGAUAGGAGCUGCGGGAAAUUAACUGGUCUUUUCCAUGUUUUUGUCAAUUAUAAAAUUUUGCUCGUCAGGAAAAUUCAAUGUAUUUAUGAAAGAAUAUUUCAGAUCCUGACUUACUUUUUGGGCAUUGGACGCUUCUCAAGCAUGAUACAAUUCCAGUGCUGAAAAGAUGUAACGUAAUGGUCAGCAUCAUAACAGCAUAACAUAUAAUCGAAUUUUGAUCAACUUGCCAGAGCAAUAUUCAUCCAGACAAUGCCAAUACCCAAUUAAAUUAAAACCAAAAAGCUUCUAUUAUGCAUUUCAAUAUGUUAUAACUAGAUGGUGAACUGAAAACUUACGAGUUAUUGCCCUUAGAGAAGCUGGCAAACAAGUUCCUGGAGAAUUGCACAAAAUGUAAAGCUUAGUCAGUGUAUUGAAGAUAGUUUAUUGAUGGAGGUGCUUAAAAGCUUCAAUUGAUAGUAUUCUUACACGCUUCGCUUUUGGCAGCUCGACUCUGCGCUUCCAUCAGUGAAAUUAUUAUAUGAAAGAUCUCUGCAAACAGAAAGUUUUAUGUGAUUCAUCGUUUCCAAAAAAUUGCACCAAGAGUGCGAAGGAGAAGCUUACAUUUUGUCUCCUCUUUCAAGCAUCCAAGGAGGUAUCGCUCCAGUUAGCAAAUUUCCGGUGAAGUAUCUAUAGCAAAAUAUAAUAACAAAGUAGUAAAAGAAGUACGUUAAACAACCCACGCUUACAAGAGGGAAAUUUGGAAUAAGAAAAAAAGAUGCUUACAUGUAAUCCACAUCAUAUAGAUCAUCGAAGUUGCUUGGAAUUUGUCCCCUUAGUCUGCUAAAGCUGAGAUCCCUGAAAGAAAAUUCAUAAAAGAAUUAUAAAUAUUAGAUAAACUGAAAUUUCCCCAAAUGUAUACCUUCAGAGAAGAAUGAACGUUUGUACUAACAAGACUUUCAAUUUUGUCAUUUUCCCAAGAUAACGAGGCAGCUCUCCUGUGAUAUUGCAAUUCCUCAAUAUCCUGCAACGACAAGAUCAAACAUUAAGAGAUUUUUCGACAAGCCAAAAGAUGAAGAAAAUUUCUAUGAAUUGGGUACUUACAAUUUCGUCAUCUUCAUAUUACCAAGUUGUGGAAAAGUUGCUUCAGGUCCAUUCAGGUCACUAAUUCUCCUGCAUAGUGAAAUUCAACAAAAACCAAUAAGCCUAGUAUCAGUCAAAUACAUUAUGCACAUGAGGUAACAAAAAUAGAAAAACCAUACAAGUCAGUUAAAUUUUCCAGAGAAAAAAUGCCUGAAGGAAUUGGCCCAACCAAACCGCUUGGCUGAAUGAAUCUGUUGAUACAUGUAAUAUUUAUUUCAUUAGUCACCAUACGCAUAAUUAUUGUUAAUAAAUAAUAAAUUAAGGGAAAAAAAAUAGCUCUUACAGUUUUUCAAGCUUUGUCCAGUUCUGAAUAAAACUAGGUAUUUGUCCUGUGAAUUGGUUAUCACUAAUUCGACUGCAUCAUUUGGGAUAACAAAAGAAAAAAUAAAUAAAUUAAUAACCAUGUACUGUUUUAAGCACACGCAAGAUGCUAAAUUGUUCAAAAAUCAGCAUAGCUGAGGUCAGCACUGAAUCCAAAUUGAAGAAAGAAGACUAUGAAAGAGUAAGAAAAAUCAAAAGCUUACAAAUCCUUCAUAUUUGUCAACUUAGCAAAUGUUUUAGGCAACUCCCCAGUAAAAUUAUUUGAACUAAGAUGUCUGUAACAAGAGCAAUAACGAGCCGAGUUAUCAAUCAAGUAAAUGUAAGUUUUUUCUUCAGGAUUUUGAUUUUGAAUAAAAGGGUCCUAAAAAUUUAUAUGAAUCACGUAUGCCUUACAAUUUUUCAAGGUUGAGUAGACUACCAAGCUCCUCAGGCAGUUCUCCUGAGAACUGAUUGUAUUGGACGGUCCUAUUCAUUUUACCGAACAUAAAAGAAUCAAUUAAAACAAGAUUAAUAUCUUUCUAAAAUCGAAGGGGGAAAAAGAGAUGCAAAAAUAAAAACUCACAGAUUGACAAGUGUGGAAAUAUUUGCUAAAUAUUUUGGGAUUGGACCCUUUAGCCGGUUUGCUACGAGGGAACUGAAACAAGAAUCCCAUAUGUGUUAGUUUAAAUGUAAAAUAUCUUCUGUUCAUCUAAAUUUAAAAUAAACAUCACGUUUACAUUCAUGAAGCAAGAUAACCAGAAAUUGAGCUACGAAUUGAAGGAUUUUGCAGGUGGGAUGAAUGAGACAUUAACUCUGAUACUAUUUUAAAAAAUAUUUAAUUUAUAAGAUUUAGUUGAUAAGUAAGGGUUUAAAAAAAUAUUAAAGGUUCAUCUCAAAUUCUUUAUUAUAUAUGUUAUCAAUCUCCCGUAGUUACUUAUAUAUGAUUUAGCAAAAAAUAGACAGUUGCUAAGUUAUAUUUUGUAACUUACAGUUGACUCAAAAUUAGUUUCUCAAGACCCCUAAGUGUUUGAUAACAAACUUUUCAUUUUAUUAAUAACUGAUUUUGAAUUGAUGUAAGUUACAAAUGAAAUGACUUAUUAGUAAGACCCAGCAAAAAACCGUCCGCAUUAGAGAAUUUUCAUAAGUACACUAUAUAAUAAAGAAAAGAAAAAGUAUGGCAUACAUAUUAAGAAGCGGCAGAGAGGCCCAUUCUGAGGGGAUAGUGCCACUAAGGUAGUUGAGAGUGAGAUCACUGUUCAUGUCAGACAGUUAAUUAAUUUCGUUAAUUAUAUAUAUAACAAAAUGAACAUAUGUAAAUGUCAAAUGGAAAAAUUUACAGUUAAUGAAGGGUAAAAUUGGAAUGGAGAAGUGCUUACAUAUCUUGGAGGAAAGUCAGUUCGGCCAAUUUUGGUGGGAGAACUCCUGUGAGAUUCUGCUCCUUCAGAACUCUGUUUGAGAUGAAAAGUAUGAGAUUUGAUUUAUGUAUUUACUUAAAAAAGGCAAGUGUAUUAUAUAGAUAAACAAACAAAUAAUGCAGGGGUGUUUGGUUACUUUGAUUUGGUACCGUUUUGGUUUACCGUUUUCUGUUUCCAGAAAUGAAAAACAAGAAACGUAUUUAGUGGCACCAUUUCUCAGCCUGUUUUUUUGUCGGACUGAAAAUGAGUACAACUAAUUUUGCUCAAUAAUGCAUUCAGUCAUUAAAUUUACUUAGAUUGAUGAAUUUAUUAAGAUCUAACGGCUAGGUGCAACAGUAACACAGUACCACCAUUGCACCGUAAUUUUCUCCUUGUUUGCAUAAAUAUCGCAUAAGUCUUCUUUCGAGAUUCGAGCCGCACCAUCAUCAUUUGGCCCCCCCGCAAACUAUAAAAAUUGCUAUGUAACAAACAGACAUUGAAAAAGACAUGUGCAUUUAUAAGAUUUUGCCACGUGUGUAAAGGAUAUUGAAAAUUAACAGGUUUUGCCGGUUCCUACCCAGUUGCAAAAUUUCACGAGGUCAAACGAAUUGGAAAAAUGAAACUCCCUCCUCGUUAAUGCGUUAAAAGGUAAGAGGCCAAAAAAUUUGAACUCUUCAUCAACAUAUCUUUUUAAUUAUCUAUGUCAAGAUAUUUAUAUUUUUUAAAUUUGAUAAAGAAGAUGAUUUAUCUCAAUUAUUGACUAUUUAAUAUGAUUAGUGAAUAACUAAUUAUGAUGUACAUAGAUAUAAUGGAUGAAAAAUCAAAUCCCUUCUGUCGACAUUUUAAAUUUAGAAAACCCUACCCAUAUAUAAUAAUUAAGACCGUAUAACUCUUAUUAACUAGUUUAUUCAAUUUUAUAAAUUAACUUUAAAAUAUUUUUUAAUUCAUUUAUAAUUCUUUUUUUCAUGUAAAUGAGUAAUGAAAAUAAACAUUUUUAUGUAAAUAAAUAUUUUAUAGUGUAAUAUCAAGUAAUUUUAUUGGUAAUCAUGAGACAAUUUAUUUUAUGAUUUUUUUUAGUACUAUAAUAUUUUACAAUGAAUCUAUGGAUAUUUUCAAUUAAUAUCUAUUGAGACUAAUCUAAAUUAAUUUUUAUUGUAGUGCAACUUAGAUAUCUACUUCCACUAAUAAUUAGGAGUAUGUAUUUGCUAUGCUCUAGCUAUAUUUGUAGGAAAAAUAAUUUAUUCCUACCAUUUUAUACAUGGGUUUGACUCCCAUGGCAUAUCUAUGGGACUCUAACCAACACCCUCAUUCAUGUCUACGAAACAUGGUGGCAACUUAUCUUAUACAGGGGUAGACCUAGGACUUUUUAUUACAUUGGGCUAAAUUUAUGGUAAAUAUUUGUAUAAAUAUCUAUUCAUGUACAAAAGCAAAAACAACAUAUAUAUCAAGCAACACCAUGUCAAAACUCUUAGUUAAACGCCUAUAUUUAAUAAAAGAAUGACAAUAAAUACAACAAAUAAGCUUAUAUGUAAAUUAUUAAAUUUAAAAAAUUAUUUAUGAACUUUUUUAUUUUAGUGAUAGAGAACGUGAUAUAUUUGAGUAAUUUGAUUUUAUGAAAAGAAAAAAAAAGUAUGAUUAUGAAGGAAAUAAACAAUGAAAUUAUGAAAAUAUUAUUAAUUUUUAAUAUAUUAUUCUAUAACUUUCUAAUACUAGUGAUAAUGUUAUAAUGUAUAUAUUGACAUAUAUAUAUUUUUCUAGUAGGCAAAAUCAUAGCAUUUUUUUUAUAAUAAAUUAAAGUAGUGCUAUGAUUUUAGACCCCUAAUUAAUUCAAUUUAUUCCAUAGAUAUAUGACGUAAUUAUUUUAUAAAACAACUCUCUAAUUCUAUUUGAAAAAGAAAUAGUUGAAUUGGGGAUAUAUUUGAAAAUAAAAUAAAAAAUCUAUUAUUAUAUAAAAAUACUAAGCAAUAAUGCAAUAUAAACGAAAUUUUACAGGCUUAGGUCAGCCUCCGAUCUUAGGAAUUUGGAAUAAAUUCUUAUUAUUGGACAAGUAGGGAUAACCAAUUAACAAUCCGAAUGUGGAAGUAUUAGAGUAAUAAUCACACAAUUUAGUCUAGUUUGCCCCUUAUUUUGUCUUCCAAAGGUAGCCACUUACCUUAAUUUGCCUCACAUUAGAUAAUACCAUUGCUAUAAGAAAAAGAAAUAUAUGAGUUAUAAUUAAUUUUUCACUAUUGAAACAAAAAUUUAUUAAUUAAAAGUGUUCUCAUAUGUAUGUGUAAAACACUUAUAUUUUUUAAUAUAUCUCACAUAAUAAUAUUGUUGUUAUUAACAAUACACGUGUUAGGGAAUUUUAAUUACAUCCAAGAUCUAGUAAGUGAAAAUAUCAAAUAAAUGAUAAAUAGAAAAUAGAUAGAGAAUAAAAUCAAUUACACAACACGAGAAUUUACGUAAAAAAUUCUAUACUUGAGAAAAACAUGGUCGCUAAAGACGACGAGAGAAAGAUUCACUAUGUGAAAAGUUAUUACAAUUUAUAUAGUAUUUUUCUCGUAUCAAAAGCUCCAAUAUAACACAAUCUCUUAAUAGACUUACUGUUUCUCUCACAUUAGAAACUAUACACUUUACAGAGAAAUUGAUUGUUAUAUUAUACCAAAAGUGAACCUAACCUACUCAUACAUAGUAAUUAUUUCUUAUAGAAAAAAUAUUCAUUUUCUUAUGUAAGUUGUACUCUUCCUUGAAUAAGUUGAGUCUCAAAGGAAAAAUUACUUAUUAUUUAAAUAGAAAUUCUCCUAAAGAGAAAAAUAUCAUAGGAAAUCUUUAUUAAAAAAAGAGACAUAUUUCCUAAUAACAAAAAGUUUAAAAUAAUUUUUUGGUACAUUGAGAAUUUGAUACAUGGAAUUUUAAUUUCAACACUAACAGGCUUGAUAGUUUCUUGCAUGAAUUUUGCAAAUACAAUUUCGGUUGUAAAAUUUUUGUGCUUAAUAUUGGAAUUUGCAUCAUUUCGAUGGCCAAAGGAAAAAAAUUGCCCACGAUGAAAAGGUCGUUUUAGGGUGCCCAUGGAGGUGUUUGGUUUGACUUUUAAUAUGCAUAAUCUGGGUUGUCAUAAGGAACUGCAAAAUGACGUAAUGAGAUUUAAGAAAAAAAACGAAGCGUGGAGUAAUAAUAGGGAGGAAGAGAAAAGUAAGUUAUUUCUUUUUAUGAAACCUUUCCAUCCGGUUGCACUUUUGCUCAGAUAAUUUAUUACUAGCAUUAGAUUUCUGUCUCUAAAUCCAACGGUUCAGCUAGUGGACUGUUACUAACAGAAUCAGUGACUGAGCCGGACCCUCCAAAUAAAUAUAGGACGGUAACAAAUGAGGCAAGUAAAAGCGGAGUGAACGGACACAAAAUUUUUUACAUGGUUCGACAAAUUAUCUUCUGUGCUGUGUCCUUGCCUCUAAAAAAAAUAAAAAUAAAAAAAAUGUAAAAAAGCUCACUGUACUAUUUUAAAACGUUGUGGUUUAAUAGGGUGUAUAUGUCGUUUUUUCUAUUAUUAAUUACUGUUUGCAAAAGAAUUUGUAUUUAAUAUUGAGCUGAUCUAUACUCAACUCUUCAUACGUAUAGAAUAUAUGAUUAAAAUGUAAUUAGUUUUAUAUUCCUGUCUAACUAUUAAUUGUGUAUUACUGAAUCUAAAUCCGCGCAAAAAGCUUUAUGAGAUAGAGAUAGGGACAUAUAAAUGUACGUACAUACGGAAAACAUGGCAAACCGUGCCGUUGGAGAAGGAGCAAUUACAGGUGACAGCAUUCUCUUCUGGAAUCUCAGCCCAUCCCUCUUCUCCACUGCAUGGAUCUACGCUGAAGUUCCAGUCCUUCUUCCCUAGCGUAUUGGCUAUAUCUUUUAAAGCUUGUACUGCAUGCAUCAAAUUGUUACAAACACGUACGGCUAAGUUUAACUGAUAGCGUUCAACAAUAUCAGUCUGUAUAUCAGUAUACAUGCAUACAUAUAUAUAUAUAUAUAUAUGUGUGUGUGUGUGUGUGUGUAAAGUAACAAGUAUCAGCCUUCCAAAAAAUAUAUAUAUAUAUUAGCAAGUUUGAAACCAUUAUGUCCUCCGGAUUAAAUUUACUUAAUCCAGAUUUUACGACAGCAUAUAUUUAAAUAUAAGUUCCCUCUGUUCAGAGAGGUUAAUAAAAUAAAAAUGAUAUAUAAUUGCACAGACUUUCUUUCUUUCUCUCUAGCUACCAUACCUUCAUUUUCUGGCAAGAUGGCUCCAGCAGCAAGAGCGCUUACGAGGGCAAGGGCAGUAAGUGAAAGAAAAAGAAGACGAUGAAACAUUUUUUUUUUUUUUCCCUCCCCACUUUUGCUGAAGAAAUUCAGCAAUAGCUGCUUUAAUUUGAGAGUGAAAAACGAUUAAUUCGGAGAAUUGGUUGCAAAGUUUAUGAUUUUUAUUUUUUUAUAAGAGGAUGGGAAUUGAAUUCUGCGUGGAAAAAUGAAAGAAGACUUGACUUGACCCUUAGUAAAUGAUGGCAACAAGAGCGUAUUACUUUAAGUAAUGAUAGAGUCGGAACUACUUGGUACAAUAAGUAUGUAUAAAUUUGUUUUUGGCUCUAUUAUUAUUAAUUACUUUAUUCGAUUCAGAUCCUUCUAUGAUUGGAGAAAUUUGAAAGUACACCAAAAGUGCUACAUUUAAUUAAUGUGAUUUUUUAAAAAUAAAUAUACACAUAAUAUACAUACAUUAAUUGAAUGUAACUAUCACCCUAUGAUACGUCGAAUUAUUAAAUUUAAUGGCUAUUCUCUUGUUAGUUUUCCAUUUUACAAUUAUUGAUACAUAUUGUUUUGUCCGUAACAAAAAGUCAAGAGCAUGUGUGGUUGGAUGACGGUCAUAUCUUAUCAAAAUCAACUUAAUUUGAGCCCUAGGAAUCACAACUUUAAUUGCUAUGAACCAAAGAACCAUGUCUCUACCGAGAGAUUUGUUCCCUACAAUUAAUUGCUUGAAUUGAUCUGAUGACAAUUGAUUGCCUGUUUCAUAUGCCAAAAAGUAAAGCUCAAAGCUUAAGUUAGAGAAAAUCAAGGGCUUCAUUUCCAUGUUAUCAUUGAGUCUAUCUUCAAAGAUGAUCUAAUUUUUUUAUUUUUUUUUGCGUAUUAAACCAUCUGGUAUCCAAAUGCCACAUUGGUUUCGACUAAUUCAGAUUCGAGCCGAGUAGGACCACUAGGGCGGCAAAACUCUCCCAACAAAUAUUUAACGCAGCUGCAUUUCCAAGCCUCGAACCGAGGACCUUGGUUAAGCUUGAACAACCACAUAUCAAUUGAUCUACGCACUUAUUGAUAAAGAUUAUCUAAAAUUUAAAAGCGUUCACAUAUGUGUUGGACUAUUGGCACCCUUUAGAAGUCGAUUUUCAUUGGAGAGAAUUGCAAGCUUUAAUUGGUAGUUAUAUUACAAUAAAUUAAGUUGUUCAUGAAGAGCGAUCAUUGUAUUAGCUUUCAAACGCCAUUAAUUAUUAGCAGAGCCAUCAAAAAGAUGAGAGAAGUGUGUUCAUGAAAUUGAACAAUUUAGAAUAGUUUUAAUUAAGGUUAUCUUAACUAAUAGUUUAUAUAUUAUAAAAAAUAAUAAUUGAUACUUGUUUUUAAUUAAAAUUUUUAUUUUGCUUAUUUUCGAGUGAGCAACUUAAUGUUAUUUUACAAAAGAUUUUUCGUUCCCGUCGGGAGUUGAAAAUUAGAAAUAAAUAACAAUGAUAAUGAAAUUUGUUUUAAUCAAGUAUGAGAGAGUAAGAAGAAUCAGAAAAAUAAGAGGAGAGAAAAUAAAUAAAUAAAAAGGAAAGAAAGAAAAGAAAAAGGAAUUUGUGAGCAAGAGGAAUGAAAACCCAAUUGAUUUGGGGUUAAAAGAGGGAAAUUGUAACACUGCCACACUCGGGUUUGGGGUUUCAAUGUUUCAUGAAGAAUAGUUUAAAUUAAUAUUAUUUUUGUCAUUAAUGGUGGCGCUAUAAGAUAUUCAAAUUAUUUUAAGGGCGAGGUUAAUUAGAGCCAAUUUACUAAUGCUGUAACUUUUAAGACAAUUGUUGUUCUUAUAUCAAUUAAUAGAGCAAGAUAAAAGAAACAAAAUGAUAAUAUAAAUAAACACUAGAUAUUAUUUUAGUACCGGACUAAAUCAAUGUAAUUAUAUUGUGCUCUAAUCAAAGCAUGAUUAGAACUCGUUCUAAUUUAAAUGAUUCAAUGAGAUUUAACAACACUUUAAGUGAGAUUAGAUGACUCUAAUUCAAACAGUUUUACAAGAGAGAUUUUGAUAGUUAAUCCCAAAAGAAUUUAAAAAAAAAAUUGUUUGAUAUAUUAAUCACAAGAUUAUGAAAACAAUAAGAAGAUCUCUUUAUUUAUAAUAUAGUAAACAUAUUUUCACAAGUUAACUUAAAAAAGAAAGUCAAAUCACAAUUAUAAUAGAAAUAGAAGACUAAAACACAAAUCAUGAUGUGUCAAUACUAUUUUAUUAGUACGAUUAUUAAUCUUUAAUUAAACUAAUAUAAUGUCCUUAUGGCAUAAUACUAAUCAUGUAAAUUACAUGUAGGGUAUUGAAAAUUACUAGAUUUUAUUUAAAAAUAUUAGUUAUAAGUCAAAAAAUUAAAUAUCUAAACUAUUAAUAUAAACUAUGAAUAUAUAUUUAUUGGGCAAUUUGUUUAUUGUAUGUCAUAAGAGUAAAAUACAGUCAAUUAAAACUUAUGUUAACUUAAAUGAUCAAAGGAACCCUAUGUAAGAAAAUAGUUAUAAGAAUGAUUUAACAGAUUAAUUGAAAAACUUUUAUUGUUUAUUCAUAUUUAUUAAAGUAAUUUAAGCUUAUUAUAAAUAUGUUUUCCUAAGUCGAGUGGGUUUAUAUGGACAGAUGGGAUAAUAAGGUGAAAAUAUCCCCACCUAUUACGGCCCCAGAUUCACCGUGGUUUUCUAAAAAAAAAAAUUUAAUUACGACAAAUAUAACAUAUUUAUACUAAAAUAAAUAUCAAGUCCAUGUAUUAUAAUUAAUCGAAUAUUAAAUCGCGUAAUAAUUAGGUUGACGUAUUGGAAUAAAACUUCAAAUUUUUUUUUUGAAUUCAAUAAAACUUUGAACUUAAACCCGACAAGAUUAGGAAAUGAACUUACUGUCUCGUGUUGUGUUUAUAUUGGACUGUCAUAUCGCUGACCGUACCCCACACUCAUUCGUACAACGUAUUGACAUUGUUUUUUUCGAAGACGAAGUUAACACCAUGUCCCUGAUUGGAAAAUGGUUACCAAUCACGUCUUAUCAAAAAAAAGGGGAGUGAGGUGUCACUAUAUUUUUGCUCGUGGCUUGAAAUUUGAACCGACAAAUUUGGUAUAAUGGUAACAAAAAUAUUGUUAUAUUUUUAUCGGAUGUGCAUUGUUUUUAUCGUUAGGAUUUGCCUAUCUUAAGCUUCCUCUCACACAGCUUAAUAAUGGGUUUUACUAAGACUCACUGCUGCAGAGACAUAUAUAUCUUACGUUAAACGUAAGGUAGCAGCUCUCUUAUCAUUAUGGCAUGCAUCUUUUUCUUAAGAUUCUUUGUCAUUUUUCCUUAAACAGUAAUAUUCCUCGGAACCAUAGAACCUAAUUACAUACUUGCAUCUGUAAUUAAGAACACCUAUCUAGAGAUUUGUUCCCUUCAAUUCAUUGGUACGACAAUACCUCUCAAGUUAAAUAUAACCAUGAUGUGGCUCAUAAUUCACAAUUGAUUGAAUUGGUCUGAUGAUUGUUUCAUUUGUGAAAAAGUAAAGCUCAAAUUAAACUUAACUUGGAGAAAAUCAAAGACUCCAUCAUUUUCAUGUUUUUAUAGGGUCUCAUAGUUUUUCCUUGUUGGAAAUUUCGAACGUGAAAAGAAGUUAAAAACUUUUAUUAGUUUAUGUAAGAAACUGAUUUCUUUUUUAUUUAAAUCAUUUAACUUAUAUUUUUUCUAGCUUAAUUUUAAUUUAAUAAAUAAUAUUUGAACUAAAAGAUACGUGGAUCCAGAUAUCUAGCUUUCUAAAUGUACAGCUUUCAUGUAAAGAUAUUUGUAUCUGUAUCUGGAUCCGAAUAUGUACAAAUCUUUAAUAUUACAAUCUAAGUCAGCAUUUUUUAAUCUGCGGUUAAAGAUCUUUCUGGAUCUAGAUCUAUAGGAUCAUUGCGGAUAAAGGUCAGACCCGAUUUUUUUUGCCAUCCCUCGUCUUAAGUAUAUUAUUUGAGUCUGAUGUGACCGACAAUCUAAUUUGACCAAUUUAACCAUUUUAUUAGAAUUUGCUAAUUAAAAUUAAAAAAAAAAAGUUUGCUUAUGUUAUAAAUUUACAUAUGGCAACACUAAAGAGUGGCAUAAAAAAGAGAGAGAAGGCCAAAGUAAAUAUGAAAAUCUCAGCAGCUAAAAAUUCAUUAUUCUUAUUCAUUUUGUGGCUUUAUAUAGAACAAGGGGAAGGGGGUGUUAUAGUAAUUUUACAAAAUGUUGAAUCCACUAUAUUCACAAUACUCCCCCUUCAGAUUCUUCAUUUAUUUACAUAUAAUAUAAAGGCAUUAUUAGACAUGCUUAAUACUGCCUCGUUAAAACCUUACUAGUAAAAUCUAGUAGGACAAAACCUGGUUAAAAAAAAUCUAAUACAACUGUAGAAACUCCUAUUUGUAAAACAUGCUCUCUCUAAUAAAAUAUCUUCUCAAAAGUCUUGUAUCAAUUUGAUACUUUGUUGUGUUGAUGUAUGCCACUCCAAUAUCGUCAUGUUGGCACUGAGUUGAAAUUCGCCAACAAAAUCAUAAAGAAUUUAAUGUAAGGACUAGUUCAUUAAGCCAGGUACAAUAAAACACUGAUGGCAUUUAGAUAUGAUACUUUUGGACCAAGUAUCUCGUUAUCAUCCUCUUUAGGUUGUAAUGGAUUUUUGUUAGGGAUGAGAAACGAAACAAUCAUAGAAGAGCCUAGCAGAUGAGCAUUAUCCAUAUUGAAACAUUUUAAGAUUUUUAAAUAUAAACAUAUUGAUGGAUAAGCACUCCAUUUGUUUGAUGCUUGAUCUAUAGGCCAAGACAAUUCUCUAUCCUCGAAGACAUCAAGAUGAGUCAGAUCAGCAGUAUCUGAUUUAUCAAUUAAAUUAGUCUCAAUUUUUCUUAUCCCUUUCUUGGAUGCUUGGUAGAGGUCUACUAUAUGUUUAUUCGUACUGCAGGUAUGUACCAAUGUCCUUUUCUUUUGCAUUGAUAAUAAUUUCUUUAUUAUCAUAUCUAACAUUUUUCCUUUCUACAUCAUUAUCCUUAUUAUGUCUCUCAUAGACGUUCCACUUCUAGUGGUAUCCAUUUUUUUUCAUUCCACUGUCCUUAGUGCCUGUGACCACUAUGGGGGUAAUAACCACACUUUCACUUACUUACUCGAUUACGUCCAUUAUUGGUUCUUUUAUUUACAUUCAUUUCUAGGAAUGAUUGAGAACCAGUUGGAUGUAGUUAAUGAUUUUUUAUUUCAAAUUCUUUUUUUUAAAUCUUCAGAGGUUUUUAGGAGCUCUUCAAGAGUUCCAAUUAAAUUCAUAUCAUCAACAUAAAAUGUUACAAUUGCAAAUCUUGAUUUAGAUUUUUUAAUAAAUGCAUAUAGGUAAAUAGGAUCAUUUUUAUGUCCUUCUUUAAUUAAAUAUUCCCUCAAAUGCAUCCAAAUUGUUUCAAUUUAGAUAAAGAUCAUUGUAGUUUGAUUGAACAAGGAUUUCUUUAAAUCUUUAGCAGUUUUUAUGAGCUCUUCAGGAGUUCCAAUUAAGUUCAUGUCACUAACAUAAAAUGUUAUAAUUGCAAAUCUAAAUUCAGAUUUUCUGAUGAAUGCAUACGGGUAAAUGAAAUCAUUUUUAUCUCCUUCUUUAAUUAAUAUUCCCUCAAAUGCGUCCAAAUUGUUUCGAUUUGGAUAAGGGUCAUUGUAGUCUGAUUGAACACAUAUUACAAUCCUUUAAUUUAAAUGCUUCAGGCAUUUUGAAUUUUUUAAAGAUUUUUAUGUAAAUAUUAGCAUCAGCCAUCAAGUGACCUAUACAUAUAUAUAAUUACUAUAUCUAUGAUAUGCAUGUUAAGUUUUUUUUAGAUUACUAAGUUGAUUAAAAAUCAUAACAAAAUGGUACCCAUCAUAAGAGAAUACAUACUCUCAUAAUCAAUAUCAAGUCUCUAUAGGAGACUUUGUACAACUAGUCAUGCUUUGUAUCUAAUGAUUUUAUUAUGUUCAUUACAUUUCCUCACAAAUACUCAUUUAUAUCCAACAUUGAUGUCUUCAUGUGUCUGAACUACAGGUCAAUGAACUUCACGUUUAACUGGAGAAGUCAAUUCUACUGUAAUGGCUUCUGUUCAUUGAGGCCAAUCAUGCAUUUGUCUAUAUUCAUCAGUAGUUUGAAGAUCAUGAUUAUUUAGAAUGUCAGUAGCUACUAUAAACGCAAGCACAUCAUUGAUGAUAAUUUCUUUAUGAUUCCACACAUUUGUGUUUGUAAAAUCUAUAGACGUUUCUUUAUGUCUAGCCACUUCAAGGCCUUAUGCCUCAUCUCGGGCGUGUACUUCUUCAAGAAGUCUUUUAGGGUGUUUGGUCUUAUCAAGGACAAACGCUUUUAAAAAUAUUACCCUGAGUAUAGUCAACAGAAAUCUCACUAUUUUUUUAUUCAUUUGCCUCUUUAAAAAUUAUUGUCACUUUAGGGACUUGUGUCUCUUUAGGGACCAUCAGUUUAUCUAGAACUGUGAUGCAGAUAAUAAGGUAUAUUCAUAGCUUGAGCUUCAUUUUCAACAAGAUCUGAUUUUUCAUUCUCCUGUUUUGGGGAGUAUUGUCUUUGCAACGAAGUAAUCUGCCACAUUUAUGAUCUAUAACAGAUAAUUCAUUAGCUACUCAUACACUUAAUUGUUCAACAAAAACAAUCACUCGAGUUAAUGUAUUACCAGCUGGAAUAAAUGACUUGUUUACUUUUACUAAAUCUGCAUCUGGCAAUUGGUUUGCAAUUUGCUGUAAAAAUAUUAUCCUCCAUACUUCAUUUUCACAUUAACUAGUACGAGGAUCUAAUUAAGACAAUAUGAAUAAAAAAAAAUUUCCAAGACAAUUCAUGCCUUCCUUCAGGAGGUUUUCUAUUUUCUGGUGAUGGAAAAAUUGUCUCAUUAAAGUGAAAAUCUUCAAAACAUAUGGUGAAAAGUUUACUCGAUAGGGGUUCAAGAUAUCAGCAUUGUAAAAUGAUGCAAUUAUGCAAAUGCAAUAUUGCAUUGCAUAAUACAAAACAACAUAUGACCAUCACGCAAGUGAAUCAUUCAAAACCAUAAAAUAACAAACUAGUCCACUAUUUAGAUAGUUUUUUGUCCACAUAUAUCUCCCUAAAUUCUUUAUAGAAAUGAUGGAGACUCAUGACCAACCUCAGAAGGGGAAUGUGUAGCCAUAAAUUUUUCUUGUGAGCAAGUAAUACAAACAAUCUCAUUCGACAAUUGAAUCGUUUAGUUCUUUAAUGGAUCUCCAUGAUGAUUUCAUCAAUAAUUAUAUGCAUCAUCGUAGAUCCUGGGUGCCUGUUGGUUGCUUAUUGCUUUAGGUGUCAAUAUGCAAGUGUACACAAUAAGUAGUAUAAUGAUGAAUAUUCAAAUUGUCUCUAUAGGGAUUGAUAUUAUAUGACUUGCUACAACAAUCUUAAUGGUGAAAAUUCAACCUAAUUAAACUAAAAUACUAAAUGAAACUAUUAACCUAACUAAAUUGAAAAUGUAAUAAAUAGAAUGCAAUAAAGAAAAAUUCUCAAGUCAAACACAAAAAUAUAAUCAAAGGGAAAUGAGUAAUUGAGUACUUAAACUCACUUAAUGGUAUUGACUUUUUUCCAAUUAAGAUUCUGUUGCAACAACAUUUACUACAGCACUGGGCAGAAUCCCUUAUGCAUCCUCAGCUGUCACAUAUUAGAUAUCUUAUAUCUAAAUGCAACCUAACAGUGACUAAUUGUUUUUCUAAUAUUAGAUACAAUAUUACACGUUCUAGGUUCCAAUUGUCCUACAAGGUGAAUAUUUAUGUCUAGUUCUUCACUCAUCUUAGAUUAAGUAUCGCCCUAUUCAAAUCGCGAUUAACUCAACUUGGGAAACUCAAUAUAAAACCAUGUAUUGUCUUGAUUUAUUCCACUAAGUCAGACCUUUUUUAGGCUCCUUCUUAGCUACUAUCCACUAAAUCAGUGGUCAGUCGAAAUAGGGAUUUAUAAUAAAUAAAAUCAAGACAAAAUGCUACAGCAUAUUCUGAGCGACACACAUGUAUAAGUCAAAUAACCAUUAAGCUUGUUUAAUACCCAACUACAUCAAAGUUUAGUUCAUGAUAUGCGAUAAAAUACUAACAAUACUCAUUUAUGUCAUCAAACACAUUCCCAUAGAGUGAAGAAAACAAGAAAAUAAAGAUGAGGAAUUGAGUUCUGCUAGGCCUUUGCAAUCUCUCAUUCUUUUUCUUCUGGAAUCCUUUGCUGCAGCCCUCAACUAUCCCUUAUUAUUAUUUUCUUUUUUUUCUCUAUUAUUUUUCUUGAAUGACGACUUUCCCUCUUCUUCUUUCACGUGUGCUCUUUUUAUAUCUUGAAAUUAGGGCAACUAAAAGUAUGUGGCCACAAAUUUAUUUUUUAAAAACCUCGGAUCGCAUAUUUUUUUGUGCCGCCCGUCGUUGCUUUGUCAGUUAACAAAUGCGUAAUCUUGUUUGCAGUUGCUCCCGAAUUGCUGUAGCAAUGGCUACAACAUCUUUUCUAAUUUAAACUUAUUUUAGUUCAUCUGCAGACAAAUUCUUUCUUUGUCAUCUCUGUAAGUUUGCUGCUGUAGCAUGCCAUCCGUAAAACUUGAGUUUUUUGACACCUACAACCAUGCAUAAGUAAUAUUAGCUUAAGUCUUAAAAUGUCAUGUUAACUCUCACUUCAUAAAGUUAUCAAACCCCCAAACUUAAACCAUCACUUGUCCUCAAGUAAUGACAAUAAUACUAACACUUUACUCACACAAUCAUGCAACAAACAACUUAACUCUAUCAUCUAACUUGGUCGGAUUCAUCAACCCUUAAAUUUCAUCCUUAAAUAUGCGAAAUCACCAUCAAUAGUUCCAGUUCUAGCUUAGGUCUUAUUCUGUCCAGGUGUGUGUGUGGAACUUUGAUUAAGUUCCAGAGUUGCUGCAGCAUCACACAAGAUCAAAUAUAACUCAAAGAUAAAAUAAAAGACAAUUCUAUUUAUGGGGGAAUAAGAGUAAAAAACGGCUCCAAACUGUGCUACAACAAUUAUCAUUUUCUUUCCAUUUUUUUUUCUCAAGUCAUACCCUUAAGUGUAACAUGGAUUUUUCAUAUGAGUGCCUAUCACUUGUAAUGAUGACACCCAAUUACUUAACCAAUGUACAAAUUAGAGUUGCUGCAGUAUAAACAUUUAAGAUGUUAUAACAUAGUCUUAUCUUUAGACACUUUCGACUCAAAGCUGAACAUGAGGCUCAUGAACAGACAUAGAUACUCAAUAUCCUAGACAGAGGACCUAUCUUGCUUUUUGGAUUGUUACAACAAUGCUCAUAACUCUUGCUGCUUUUUUACUCAAGUCUACAUUUGGGGUAUAUAUUCAGCCCUGGUUACUCAGCAAUUGAGUCAUUGGAGCAUAAUUUUAUUUCAGGUUCCCCUAGAAUACAGUUUGUGACAAUUCUUAAACAUUUUUUCAGGUUCCCCUAAACUUGAGAUAUUUUUAACCCUUUGCUCUACCUGAUUUUGUUACAGCAUACUCACAAAACUCAACCAAAGCCUAAGUAUUAAGACAUAAUUCCAACGCCCAUUUAUAAACUGUCUCUACUUGGAAGUUAUUUGUCUUACAUUUCAUCACUCAAUUCAUCCUCAUUGGGUUUUCUAAUCAAAUACAAAUGCUAGACAAACAGAAGUGCACACAUAAUACAAACACAUACCUUCAUAGGCACAUUACACCAUAAUACAGCCCCUCAAACUUAAGAGGUGUUGUGUCCUCACAUGCAUUCAACAUAAAUUAAAAACAAACAUGUAUACACUUAAAAUAAAAAAAAAUGCAAAAUAAACAUGAUAAAAUAAACAAAAGAAAAGAAAAGAUUUAGAAAUUACAAAGCUAAAGUGGGCUGACAAGGGACACUCCCCUAUUGUUGGAAACUAUGCUGAAGCAUAUGUUGUAAAGGGUCAUUAUUUCUUUGAUCCAUUUCUCAAAUGCUCCUUUGGUGAACUCAGUGGUGUAACAAUUAGCUGUUUCUUCUUCUGGCUUUUGGUUAGACUGGUUGGAGGGGUUCCAGCAGCUUCUGUAACAUUGGGUAGAGUUGGCUUUGUUUUCUUGGGUUCUGGUUCUUCUGGUUCUCUCAAUGCUGCAAUACCUCCAGAAAGUGUGCCUCUUUUCUCUUGCUGGGUGCCCUUAGAGUUGGGACAGGAGAUUUUGUAGGAGUUUUCUUUACAGUGGCUGGUGAAGGAGUUGUAGUUGUUGGUUGCUCAGCAGUAAUGGG
rnacentral:lncRNA from 1 species